CACAACGAAAACUCAAAACUACUUGAUAUCAAAACUUCGAACUAAUAGAUCAAGAUACUACUAAAAGGAUCGAACUAAAUAAAGCGGUAAAGAUAGGAGUGUGACGGUGAUACGAUACCGGGGAACCUCCCCCAAGCUUGGCAGUUGCCAAGGGGAGUGCCCAUACCCAUGUGAUUAUUUCUCCUUCUUCACGGUUGGUGUUGUGAUCUUCUUGGCGAUGGUGCCCUUCAGGAUACGGUUCUCCUCCUUGAGCUUAUUGAUUUGUCGUUUGAGGUCCAAAAUUUCUUUACGGAGCUUGCCCGUAACGGCGAAGGCUCCUUUUACCCAAGGAUGCUGCAUAGCUUCUGGAGAACACAUGAAACUCUUUUUCAUAUUUUCAUAAGAAAGAAAUCUGGAGUUGGAAGGGAUAACCGAAGCAGGGACAGCCAGGCUAGGUAGUUCCCCCAUAGUGAAAUCUGCUUGGAGACGAGAGGUAACUUCUUGAUCUUCCUCCAUGGCAUCUAUCCUUUUCAAAUCAGCCUUCAUCUCAUCCUCCAUUGAUGGUCCAAAGUGAUAGGCAUCACCGUUCGCUCCUGGACCUGGCGUUGGGUGAGACACUCGGCUCUCCCCAACUGAUUCCUGAGAAGACAUCUUGCUUAAUUCUGCAACAGGAACAACUCGAAACGAAAACAGAGGAUAAUUGCGUGAUACGGUGGCCAAAACCUUCGGGAGUAUAUAUAAUGAAUUUUUACCGACCAAAAUACGUAACAUACAAGAAAACGGAGUCCGGGGGGCACACGAGGUGCCCACGAGACAGGGGGGCGCGCCCUCAUCUCUCGAGGGAGCCUCGUGUCCCUUUCGGGCUACUUCUUUCUUCCUAAAAUUCUUAAAUAAUCCAAAACUGAUGAAAAUUGCCAUUAGAGUUGUUUUGGAGUCGGUAUACUUACCGUACCACGUACCUAUGCCUUUUCAGAGUCUGGAACAUUCUGGAAAGUGUCUCUUAUGUACUCCUCUGGGGUUAUGGUUUCAAUAAUAUUAGUUUCAACAUUGAUAGGGUUACCUAAAAUAUAAUGCUUGAUUCUUUGACCAUUAACCACCCUCGGAUUUGUGCCUUCAAAGUUAUUAAUUUUUAUAGCACCGGAAAUGUAGACCUCCUCGAUAAUGUAGGGACCUUCCCAUUUUGAGAGAAGUUUUCCUGCAAAAAAUCUUAAACGAGAGUUGAAUAAUAACACAUAAUCUCCUACGUUAAACUCACACUUUUGUAUCCUUUUAUCAUGCCAGCGUUUGACUUUUUCUUUGAAGAGCUUGGCAUUCUCAUAAGCUUGGGCUCUCCAUUCAUCAAGUGAGCUAAUAUCAAACAACCUCUUCUCACCGGCAAGUUUGAAGUCAUAAUUGAGCUCUUUAAUAGCCCAAUAUGCUUUAUGUUCAAGUUUAAGAGGUAAAUGACAUGCUUUUCCAUAAACCAUCUUAUAUGUAGACAUACCCAUAGGAUUUUUGUAUGCAGUUCUAUAGGCCCAUAAUGCAUCAUCAAGUUUUUUGGACCAAUUCUUUCUAGAUCUAUUCACGGUCUUUUGCAAAAUUAAUUUGAGCUCUCUAUUGCUCAACUCUACUUGACCACUAGAUUGCGGGUGAUAAGGAGAUGCAAUUCUAUGAUUGACAUCGUACUUAGCAAGCAUCUUACGGAAAGCGCCAUGAAUAAAGUGUGAACCACCAUCAGUCAUAAGAUAUCUAGGGACUCCAAACCUCGGAAAAAUUACUUCUUUAAGCAUUUUAAUAGAAGUGUUAUGAUCAGCACUACUAGUUGGAAUAGCUUCUACCCACUUAGUAACGUAAUCAACAGCAACUAAGAUAUGUGUAUAACCAUGGGAGGCAGGAAAAGGUCCCAUGUAAUCAAAGCCUCAAACAUCAAACGGUUCGAUAACAAGAGAAUAAUUCAUAGGCAUUUCUUGACGUCUACUGAUGUUACCUAUUCUUUGGCAUUCAUCACAAGAUACGACAAACUUACGAGCAUCUUUGAAAAGAGUAGGCCAAUAAAAACCAGAUUGUAGUACCUUGUGUGAAGUUCUAUCUCCAGCGUGGUGUCCUCCAUAGGAUUCAGAGUGACACUUGUGUAGGAUUUGUUCCUGUUCAUGCUCAGGCACACAACGUCUAAUAAUACCAUCUACUCCUUCUUUAUAAAGGUGUGGAUCAUCCCAGAAGUAAUGUCUUAAAUCAUAGAAGAACUUUUUCUUUUGCUGGUAUGUGAAACUAGGCGGUAUAUAUUUAGCAACAAUGUAAUUAGCAUAGUCAGCAUACCAAGGAGCCGUACGAGAAGCAUUGACUACCGCUAAUUGUUCAUCAGGAAAACUAUCAUUAAUAGGCAGUGGGUCAUCAAGAACAUUCUCUAACCUAGACAAGUUGUCUGCAACGGGGUUCUUAGCUCCCUUUCUAUCAAUAAUAUGCAAGUCAAAUUCUUGGAGCAAGAGAACCCAUCUAAUGAGUCUAGGAUUAGCAUCUUUCUUUUCCAUAAGAUAUUUAAUAGCAGCAUGAUCAGUGUGAAUAGUAACUUUGGAAUCAACAAUAUAAGGUCUAAACUUAUCACAUGCAAACACAAGUGCCAAGAAUUCUUUUUCAAUGGUAGCAUAAUUUCUCUGGGCAGUAUCAAGGGUCUUACUAGCAUAAUGUAUAACAAUCAAUUUCUUAAUGACUCUUUGCCCUAAAACAACACCUACAACAUAAUCACUAGCAUCACACAUAAUUUCAAAAGGUAAAUUCCAAUCAGGUGGCUGAACAAUAGGUGCUGUGAUCAAAGCUUUCUCAAGUGUUUCAAAUGCUUCUACACAAUCAUCAUCAAAUACAAAAGGAAUAUCUUUUUGUAAUAAAUUAGUCAGAGGCCUAGAGAUUUUAGAAAAGUCCUUAAUGAACCUCCUAUAAAAACCGGCAUGACCAAGGAAACUUCUUAUACCUUUUAUGUCCUUGGGACAUGGCAUCUUUUCAAUAGCAUCAACUUUGGCUUUAUCAACUUCAAUACCCCUUUCGGAGAUCUUGUGCCCCAAUACAAUGCCUUCAUUAACCAUAAAGUGACACUUUUCCCAAUUCAGGAUGAGACUAGUGUCUUCGCAUCUCUGUAAAACUCGAUCAAGGUUGCUCAAACAAUCAUCAAAAGAGGAUCCAUAGACAGAGAAGUCAUCCAUGAAUACCUCACAAAUCUUUUCACAAAAAUCGGAAAAUAUAGCCAUCAUGCAUCUUUGAAAGGUAGCAGGUGCAUUACAUAAACCAAAAGGCAUACGUCUAUAAGCAAAAGUACCAAAAGGGCAAGUAAAAGUAGUUUUAGAUUGAUCCCCCGCUGACACAGGUAUUUGAGAGAAACCAGAAUAACCAUCUAGAAAGCAAAAAUGUGUGUGUUUGGAUAGCCUUUCUAGCAUUUGAUCAAUAAAAGGUAAAGGGUAAUGAUCUUUCUUAGUAGCUUUAUUUAACUUACGGAAAUCAAUUACCAUCCUAUAGCCUGUAAUAAUUCUUUGCGGGAUCAAUUCAUCUUUGUCAUUAGGAACAACGGUAUUACCUCCCUUUUUAGGGACACAAUGGGCAGGGCUUACCCAUUCACUAUCAGCGACAGGGUAAAUAAUACCUGCCUCAAGGAGUUUUAGAAUCUCCUUUCUUACCACUUCCUUCAUUUUGGGGUUUAAUCGUCUUUGAGGAUCUCUAACAGGUUUGGCAUCUUUCUCCACUGAAAUUUUAUGUUGACAUAAUGUGGGACUAAUGCCCUUAAGAUCAUCCAGAGUAUAUCCAAUAGCAGCUCGGUGCUUCCUUAGAGUUUUCAAUAAUCUUUCUUCUUCUUUCUUUGAAAGGUUAGCACAAAUAAUAACAUGAUAUAUUUAUUUUUCAUCAAGAUAAGCAUACUUGAGAUUAUCAGGUAAGGGUGUGAGUUCAAACACGGGAUCACCCUUGGGUGGAGGGGGAUCCCCAAGAAUUUCAACGGGAAGAUUAUGUUUUAGCAUAGGUUCUUGUUUAAGGAACACUUCAUCUAUUUCUUCCCUUUCCUUCAUAAACAUAUCGUUUUCAUGGUCUAGCAAAUAUUGUUCUAACGGAUCAGUUGGAGGAACAGCAAUAGAAGCAAGACCAAUAAUCUCAUCCUUACUAGAUCGUUCCUUUUCACGAGGUUGUCUACUAAAUUUGGCGAAAUUAAACUCAUGAGACAUACCAUCUAUACCAACAGUGACAAUAUUCUUUUCACAAUCAAUCUUAGCACUAGCAGUAUGCAAGAAAGGUCUACCAAAAAUAACGGGACAAAAAUAUCUUGUGGGGAAGCAAGAACAAGAAAAUCAGCAGGGUAUUUAAUCUUUCCACACAAGACUUCAACAUCUCUAACAAUCCCAAUAGGUUUAAUGGUGUCCCUAUUAGCAAGCUUAAUAGUAACAUCAAUGUCUUCUAAUUCAACAGGUGCAAUAUCGUGCAUAAUUUCUUUAUAAAGAUCGUAAGGUAUAGCAUUAGCACUAGCACCCAUAUCACAUAAGCCAUGAUAACAAUGAUCUCCUAUUUUAACAGAAAUAACAGGCGUGCCUACAACAGGUCUACGUGUCUUAGUAUCGGGUCUAGCAAUAUUAGCAGUUUCACCCACGAAAGAAAUAACAUGCCCAUCUAAGUCUUCAUCCAGGAGAUCUUUAAUCAUAGCAAUACUAGGUUCAACAUUAAUUUUCUCAGGAGGUGUAUAAGUCCUAGUAUUACUCUUACGAACAACAGUCGAAGCUUUAACAUGAUCUUUUAUCCUAACAGGAAAAGGAGGUUUUUCAACAUAAGUAGUAGGAAUAACAGGAUCACUAUAUAUAAUAGUCUUUUCUUCGACUGUAAUAGGUGCAACUACUUUCACUUCAACAGGAGGAUUAUAUUUAAACCACUUCUCUUUAGGGAGAUCAAUGUGAGCAGCAAAAGUUUCACAAAAAGUAGCUACUAUCUCAGAGUCAAGUCCAUACUUAGAGCUAAAUCCACGGAAAGCAUCGGUAUCCAUAAAAGAUUUAACACAAUCAAACUUAGGUGUCAUACCUAACUCCUUACCAUCGUCGGAACCCCAAUCUUCAGAGUUGCAUUUAAUUCUUUCCAAUAAGUCCCAUUUGAAAUCAAUAGUCUUCAGCAUAUAGGAACCAGUACAGGAAGUAUCGAGCAGGUUGCGAUUAUCAAGAGAAAGCCGAGCAUAAAAAUUCUGAAUAAUCAUUUCCCGAGAGAGUCAUUGUCAGUGUCAAAACCGGCGGAUCUCGGGUAGGGGGCCCCGAACUGUGCGUCUAGGCGGAUGGUAACAGGAGACAAGGGACACGAUGUUUUACCCAGGUUCGGGCCCUCUUGAUGGAGGUAAAACCCUACGUCCUGCUUGAUUAAUAUUGAUGAUGUGUGUUACAAGAGUAGAUCUACCACGAGAUCAAGGAGGCUAAACCCUAGAAGCUAGCCUAUGGUAUGAUUGUUGUUCGUCCUAUGGAGUAAAGCCAUCCGGUUUAUAUAGACACCGGAGAGGGCUAGGGUUACACAGAGUCGGUUACAAUGGUAGGAGACCUACAUAUCCAUACCGCCAGGCUUGCCUUCCACGCCAAGGAAAGUCCCAUCCGGACACGGGACGAAGUCUUCAUGCUUGUAUCUUCAUAGUCUUGGAGUCCGGCCGAUCAUGAUAGUUCGGCUAUCCGGACACCCCCUAUUCCGGAACUCCCUCAGUAGCCCCUGAACCAGGCUUCAAUGACGAUGAGUCCGGCGCGCAUGUUGUCUUCGGCAUUGCAAGGCGGGUUCUUCCUCCGAAUAAUUUAUAGAAGAUUGUGAACACCAGGAUAGUGUCCGGCUCUGCAAAAAUAAAUUCCACGUACCACCGUAGAGAGAAUAAUAUUACACAAGUUCAAUCUGCUGACGUAUUUUGUGGCAUGACAUCACAUCAUUACCAAGCCUUUACUCGAAUUGUUUUUAUUGUUCCACCUCAGCGCAUUUAGCGAAGCGGUUUCCUUGGCACGUCUUGUCGAAGCAGAGAUCAUGCUCCCCUUAUUCCGGGAUUCCCAUCAAUACGGACGUGGGUAACCCAACCGUGCCCGUUGCCACACCCCCUCCAUCGAAGGCGGGUUCCAAAUGGUCACGACGACGGCUCUUGGUAUUCUUCCUCUUUAUAACGAGACCAAGGCCAGUUCUUUUUCUUCAAUCCUCAAUCGAAUCCGCCCCCCGCCCCCGAGUUCCAACACCCAGGGCUCUAGAUUCGGGUACCUUCGAUCCUCGACAAUGUCCGGCUCUGACCUACGGGGCCGGUGGAUGCCCUCCUCCGUCACGGAAGAAGACGUGUUAAAGCUGAGAGACGCCAGGUACUUGACCUAUGAGAUUUCGCAUAGGCUGCCUGCCCGAGGGCAAGCUAUUCCUACUCCCGAGCCCGGCGAGAGCGUUGUGUUCGUGUCUCACCUCCGUCGGGGUUUUGGCUUCCCGAUGGACCCCUUCGUGAGGGGGCUCAUGUUUUACCAUGGGCUGGAAUUCCAUGACUUGGCUCCGGAGUCCAUCCUCCACAUCUCAUCGUUUAUUGUGUUUGUGAAGCCUUCCUCCGCACUACCCCUCACUUCGGCUUGUGGCUUAAAACCUUCAAUGUGGAGCCGAAGAUGAUUGAGGGGCGUCAGGCAGAGUGCGGCGGGGCGGUCAUAAGUAAGAGGGCCGAUGCUCCAUGGCCCGAGGGCUCUUUUCAGGAGGAGCUCGGCUUGUGGCAACAGGAGUGGUUCUAUAUCACCGCUCCUAGGGGCAGCAGGCAGAGGCCGCCGCCCGUCUUCCGCUCGGGCCCUCCACAACAGUUGACGUCAUGGGUCAACAAGGGGCGUGACUGGGGGCCGUCCAAAGACGUACCCCUGUUGCAGGACCGGAUUCGAGGCCUCCAAGAAAGGAAGAUCAAUCUAGUCGCAGUGGUACAGGUUAUGCUGAUCCGGUGCCUACUGCCCUGCAAACGUCGCCCCCUCCGUCUAUGGGAAUUUAAUCCGGAGGGGUCACGAGCUCUUCAACACUUCAUGGGUUUGACACCCGCGGAGAUGUACAAACUGUUCUUCGGAUCGCAAGAGAUGCGUCCGGAAUUGACCGAGGAUGCUGGCCUAAGCUGCAAUCGCCCGGAUACUCAAGUAAGUAGCCCUGUGUCCGAACACAUCGUCCAUUCAUUUACUGUGGGUUUGCCUUUUAACCAGCUAUCCCUUGGACAGGAGUGGAUAGCGCAAGCAAAACUGAUACGGUGUCCGCCCCCCCUCCCCGAGACCAUGCAGGAUCCCGUGUUAAUCAAAAUGUUGGAGGUUGCACCUUUGGAGGAGGGCGAAGAAGGGCACAGAGGAACUACCACCUCAGCCACGGAGGUUUUCAGUAAGGGAGGAAUCGAGAGUCCCUCCUUCCAGGGGGAGAAGAGGACUGCUGCCAAAGACCCGGAGGCCAAGGCCUCAAAGCGGGGAAAGAAAUCUGUACCGGAAGGUCCUGUGCCGGGAAGAGCCCCGGCCGUAUUGUCUCCUCGGAGGAAUCAUCCCUCUAGCGAGCCGUAAGUAUAAAAAGGGGGAAUUUUGUAAUAGUGGACAUCCCUGUUUAAUUUCUAAGGGUAACCGAAGUUUUCACCUUGUAGUUCGGAUCUCAGCCCAUCUCAGCACAGCUCAUCGUCGGGAGACCUUCGUCCGGAGAUGAUGGAGAGCGAAACGCCUCCAUCUGCCGCCCCGUCGUGUGGGGCGGGCGACCCUGAGGUGUCGUCACGGAGGGUCUCCCCGAGUCCAGCGGGGCCGGAGAGUUCGGCACCCAUUGGAGUACGGUCGGUGGAGCUGCAGGAUUUGCUCAGAAGGGCGUCUGUCUCAGAAGAUCACCGCACAUUAAUGGGUAGGGUGAUUGAGAGGAUCUCGUCCGCCGAAAGCGGGUUGUAUGAGGCCGUCGGAAGUUUGCUGACGGGGUUUGAGGUACGCAAAAAUGACAUACCUUUUGACAGUUUUGCGCAUGAAGUGCGCCCUGUAUAGAUAGUAGCCCCUGAGACUUGGUAUGCUGUCGAAAGCGACAGCGUGCCGAGGAUCAUAAUCUUAGUUAUAGAUUGUAGCCUUUCCUAUGCAGGUGGCGGAACGUUCGUUGGCCAGCCGGAUUGAUGGAUUUGCCGAGCUGAAGAGGCAACUCGACGUUGCGGAUGCGGACAUCCCGCUGGUCAAUACACGACUUGAUGAGUCGCAAGGUAUGUGGUUGCUCUGCGGUCGCCUAGUAAGGGAGCUGACGCCCAUUCCUUACAAUUUGUAUGCCUGAUGCAGAUAGUGCUGCUGCUGUGGAAGGCCUUCGAGCAGAACUUGCUCGGGCCAAGGAGCAAGCCAGAAAAAGCGAGGCGGCUGCCUCAAAGGAAGCGGAAGAGCUAGAAGCCGAGAAGGCUGCUCACUGCCAAAGCAGGGAGGAGAUGGCCGGAAUGGCCACGAAAUUAAAAGUUGCGACCGACCGCCUGGAGGUUCUUGAAAGAGAACGCCGAGCGGAGCAAGAGGACCUGAAGAAGGCCGACGCCGAAGCCAAGGAUGCCCGUAGUGCGAUGCGGGCUAUGAAGGAGGAACUGCGUCAGGUCGGAGACAUUGUGGCUGGAAAGCCCUUUAUGCUGCGUAGGAAGUUCACGGAUCCGAAGUAUGCUCAGCUGGGCCGAUUGUACGGUGCAGAGGAUCCUUAUCUGGACUUGGCGGCGAGUGCGGCGGACGCAGUCGUGCACUUUCGAAGCCAGGAGGAUCACGAAAUGGAAGAGCUUUUCUGGUCUCAAUUUCAUAGUCCAGAGUGUCCACUUCAGUUGAGUGAUCGGCUGGUUGAGUGGGCUGAGCUGAAUAGAUUGUCCGGACUUGCCAUGACGGAUGUGGUCGCUCAUCUAUGGCCGAAAAGGCCCAAGCCGAAGAGUUAUUUUGGCUUGUUGCAGCAAUUCCUUGGGGCGGUGCCGCGUAUUGGGGCGAUGAAGCGGCCGACAUGCAUAGAGGGUGCACGGAUGGCUCUCGCCCGUGGUAAGACAUACUGGGCGGAGAUGGAUGCCACCGCUGUUGCAUCCCGGGGUUCGGACAAAAGCCGAUUCCCCACCGAGCACUAUUUUGAGGAAGUCCUGCAGGGCGCUCGUUUAAUAGAGUCGCAGUGCUCGAAAGAUGUUAUGUUUGAAUGACAUGUAUGAUUUCUGAGAUCAUGUUUAUAAUGCAAUAGCUUUUUAUACUUGUGCGCUCAAGUAUUGAACUAUCUCCUGUGCGGCCGUAUGUGUAUGUAUAAUCUGAAAGAUGGCAGUCUUUGGCUUCAGCCCCCACGCACAUUGUGCGGGGGUGUUUGCAAAAAGAAAAGCGCUUUUUCACACUUAAUCCAACGUCUUGGUCCUUUUAAGAAGGUGAUAGCGUAGCAAACUAGGCAACCGGACUAUAAUGCUUUAUCACUUUCACUUAGCCAUAGGAGCUCGAAUGUGGGGCUACUAUAUAGCCCCUAGCGGCACCGCUCUUCCCUGAACUCGGGGCGCGUGUGUGCCUGACCGGGAAGCGGUCCUUCGCCAAAGCGGAGGAAUUCUAAACAUUCCAAUGGUCGAUCGAGUGGUUGACCAGUCUCUCACUAUAUCAUGACAGUCAGUUUUCGGCUUUCUCUACUGAGGUGCUCGCCCGGCCGAACUGAGGCACAAUCGCAGUAGUUCUCCUGGUGCCGCGUUAGCCGAUGAUAUGGAACGUAAGGCAGCAAAACACAGGAGCCGGGCAAACCCAACAUUUGACCAAAGACAUGAUUCGGAGCUGAUGCAUAUAAGGCCUAACUCGAGACGCCGAACACUCCCUGAGGUGUUCGAUCUUUAUGAUACCGGGCAGAACAAUGCCCUAAGCCCCUAGUGUCCAGGUACAGGCGGGAACUUCUGACGCGGCCGAUGCCAAAACGCCAGCCUCCUCCUCGGCUAUGGUGGGAAACCGGGGGAUGUGUAUCAACAAGAGACAGUAAGAAAGGUUUACGCAGGGUCUUAAUCUGAAAAGAAUCCUUGCAACGGGUCCCUGCUGCACGUCUGCGCCUGUGUCUCCGUUAUGCUGUAUCCUGGACGGGUGUAGCACGUGCUUCAUCUGUAAAAGAGAAGGACUUAGUUUCUAAGAAAUAUCAUGCAAAAAAUUGUAUGAAAUAAAGUAUAAUUUGGAAGAUGAAGAAAGUUGAGCUUUAUUGGCUCUCAUCAUUUAUACGCGCAGCCCCUUGUAAAGGGGGUAUGCGGCUGGGAAGCCCCUUGUUUAGUUAAGCCGGACUCGCCUAACCGUGUCCGGGGUCUGAAUGACCUGUGUUUAGGGGCCUUGACCUGCAAGGUCGGAGUGGCUGUCAAGGCAGCCCCACGCUCUCCGUGGUCGAGGGACACUCGUAGUUACUCUUUAAUGAGAUUAUGCCGCGUGGACCGGGCAUUGUAAGUAUAAGAGACAUGUAGUGUGGUAUGGCGUUAAAGCGGGUGAAAGCUUUGCGCCCCAGUAGUGCUUGAUGGCCACUAUAAAAUGGGGCAUUGCGAAGAGUGAGCCUUUCGCGACGGAGGUUGUCGGAUGAACCGAACACAACCUCUAGUGGUACAGAGCCCGUAUGAUUGGCUUAAAGGCCUGGCAUCACUUCUUUAAAGGAAGUGCUGUUAUGGCGAAUGUUGGUAUGGUCUAUCCCCAUUCUGCGGGCGGUGUCCUGGUAUGGCAGGUGCCGCGCUCUAUUUUCGUGUUAUCACAUGAAGCGAGUUCACUGUUUUGACUUCUAGUGGGAAAGUCUUCUGUUGUCCCGAGUGCUGCUUUUGGGGUUCGUCACUUUUGCUUGGUGUGUCGAGCCCCUUGUGUUCGGCAUUAAGUCGGCCGGACUGCUUGAAGACCCAACAAUCUCUGUGGGUAUGGUUUGCAGGCUUUCUGGAGGUACUGUGUAUUUGACAUAGCCUGUCCAGAAUCUUGUUUAGGUUGGAUAGCUCGUCACUGUUGUCCUUGAGGGGCAGUGUUUUGUUAUUCGGCCGAGAGCUUUUGAAUCCGGCGUUGACCGCCAUACUAUUUGGGCCAUUUUCCUUGUUCCGACGCUGAUCUUUUCUGCGUCGUGAUUUCCCAUUUCCAUCCCUGACUUCGGAUGUACUUGGGUCGCUGGUGCUGCAUCUAGCCAGCCAGCUGUCCUCCCCUGCGCAAAAGUGGGUCAUGAGGCUUGUUAGUGCGGCCAUUGUACUUGGUUUUUCUUGGCCGAGGUGUCUGGCGAGCCAUUCAUCUCGAACGUUGAGUUUAAAGGCUGCUAAGGCUUCAGCGUCCGGACAGUCGACUAUUUGGUUCUUUUUGGUGAGGAACCUGUUCCAGAAUUUGCAUGCUGACUCUCCGGGCUGUUGAGUGAUGUGACUUAAAUCGUCUACAUCCGGAGGGCGGACAUAAGUCCCCUGAAAAUUUGCUCGAAACGCAUCCUCGAGCUCUUCCUAACUUCCGAUGGUAUUUUCUGGGAGGCUUUUAAGCCAAUGCCGAGCUGGCCCUUUGAGCUUGAGGGGUAGGUAUUUUAUGGCAUGGAGAUCGUCUCCUCUGGCCAUAUGUAUGUGUAGGAUAUAAUCCUCAAUCCAGACUCCGGGGUCUGUUGUUCUGUCAUAUGCCUCUAUGUUUACGGGUUUGAAUCCCGCUGGAAAUCCAUGAUCCAGUACCUCGUUGGUGAAACAUAGUGGGUGUGCGGCGCCCCUGUAUUUGGGUGUGCCGUUGUCUUCAAAUGUUCGGCAGGUUAUGUUGCUUCCUGGAGUCUUCUUUUUUGGCCCAUAAAUAGAUCUGACUGGGUCGUCCUUUUUCCGAGGAUCUUUAUGCUGAUCGUGUGCCGGCUUGUGUGCGGCGCCUCUUGUUGCUCUUGGCCUGUCAUCUGGUCGUCUAUCCAGCCAGGCGGCUUCUUUCUUUUUUGACUGCGGGGGCUCUAAGGCCUCUUCGUCAAAUUCGGGCAAUAGCUUGCACUUCGGGUAGCUCUUUGUCUGGUGACUAGCGCCAUGUUUAUCUGCGCUGUUGAGUACUUUGCUCCAUCUCAUUCUGAGUGCGUCCUCCGCUGUUUUGAGCUUCCGCUUUUGCUUCUUCAAACUUCUUGCAGUGGCGACAAGCCUUUUAUGAAGAUUCGUAUGCUCUGGUGAUGUGAGAUUGUCUCCGCCAGGGAUGGGUUGCUUGUCCAGUUCAUGUCCGGCUGGCUGCUUGGUGACGUGUGCGUCGUCCACUGCUUCGCCCUGCUCUAGGGCCGGGUCCGUAUGGGUGCCGUUUUUAUCGAGGCUGGUCUUCGGGCGGCGCUUGCGUCGCCGUUUUGGUUGUUUAUUGGGGGAGUUGUCCUUCGCCACGUCCCGUUUUUCCUCAUUGUCGCUUCCUUUUGGUGUAUCCACCAUGUAUACGUCGUGAGUUGGGGUGGCUUUCUCGUGCCCGGUAGGCGCUGGUUCUUGGUCAUCUCCGGCAUUGUCGUCCAUACCGUCGAUGUCUUCGGAGGCAUAGUUUAGCAUGUCGGUUAGAUCGUCGACAGUGGCUACUAAUUGGGUGGUGGGUGGGCUUUGAAUUUCUUCGUCGUCCGCAUCCCAACUGUCCUGGCCGCAGUCCAGCCAGGGCUCUCUUGAUAACGAGAGAUAUUUUAGCGAACUCAAGAUGUCGUCGAAAGGUGAGCGUUGAAAGAUGUCCGCUGCGGUGAACUCCAUGAUCGGCGCCCAAUCAGAUUCGAUCGGAGGGGGCGCGGGAGGUUCGGAGUCCGGCGAGGAGUCCGGCACCUCGGAGUCACGAGCUUUAUGAGGGACAAAGUCAGUGUUCGGCUCUAUCGCCGUAGAGGUUGCAGCCCCCGAGGCGGUGUCUAGCCAUCCGUCCUCGAUCUGCGCAGCUGGCUCCGAAUUGAAGAUCGGAGCGGGUUCGAGUGCGGCCUCCAGGGUACUGUCCGGCUGCAGAGCUAAAUCAUGCUCACCGUGACAGUGCGGCAUGCUCGGCUGUGGCUUGAAUCCGUCGAGGAUCAAGUCCCCGCGGAUGUCAGCCGUGAAGUUCAAACUUCCAAAUCUGACCUGACGGCCAGGUGCGUAGCUUCCGAUCUGUUCCAGAUGGCCAAGCGAAUUGGCCCGCAGUGCAAAGCCACCGAAUACGAAGAUCUGUCCGGGGAGAAAGGUCUCACCCUGGACUGCGUCGUUGAUCAUGGUCGAAGAAGCCAUCGAGCCUAUCGGUGACGACACAGAGGAACUCUCAAUGAAAGCACCAAUGUCGGUGUCAAAACUGGCGGAUCUCGGGUAGGGGGCCCCGAACUGUGCGUCUAGGCGGAUGGUAACAGGAGACAAGGGACACGAUGUUUUACCCAGGUUCGGGCCCUCUUGAUGGAGGUAAAACCCUACAUCCUGCUUGAUUAAUAUUGAUGAUGUGUGUUACAAGAGUAGAUCUACCACGAGAUCAAGGAGGCUAAACCCUAGAAGCUAGCCUAUGGUAUGAUUGUUGUUCGUCCUAUGGACUAAAGCCAUCCGAUUUAUAUAGACACCGGAGAGGGCUAGGGUUACACAUAGUCGGUUACAAUGGUAGGAGACCUACAUAUCCGUACCGCCAAGCUUGCCUUCCAUGCCAAGGAAAGUCCCAUCCGGACACGGGACGAAGUCUUCAAUCUUGUAUCUUCAUAAUCUUGGAGUCCGGCCGAUCAUGAUAGUUCGGCUAUCCGGACACCCCCUAGUCCGGAACUCCCUCAGUCAUGAUUGGGGCAUGAAUAUAACAUUGACUUAAGCCUCCCCCAAGCUUGAGCGAUGAUUUCUCCUUUGCGAGGCCAGAAAUUAUAUAUAUAAUUACGAUCACGAUGAACAAGAUGCAUAGGAUAGAACUUCUGGUGAAAUUCCAAUUUCAAUCGCUUAUAAUUCCAAGAUCUCGUGUCAUCACAUAGCCUAUACCAUGUCAUUGCAUCUCCCUUCAAAGAAAAAGGGAAGACCUUCCUUUUGACAACAUCAUCAGGAAUACCUGCAAGCUUAAAUAAUCCACAAACUUCAUCCACAAAGAUAAGGUGUAAGUCGGGAUGCAAAGUUCCGUCUCCUGCAAAAGGAUUAGCUAGUAGUUUUUCUAUCAUACCCGAAGGAAUCUCAAAGUGAAUAUUUUCAUAAAGUUCAGUAGGUUGAGGAACAUCUCUUUGCUCCUCUGGUUGGGGUGAAGAUACCCCAAACAAGCCACUCAAAGGAUUAGUUUCCAUAGUGACAAGUAACAAAAAAAUUCAGCACACUAUAUAAUUGUUUCCUUACCAAGUUCCACUCACCAAGAGCGCUACGCUCCCCGACAACGGCGCCAGAAAAGAGUCUUGAUGACCCACAAGUGUAGGGGAUGUAUCUAGUCCUUUCGAUAAGUAAGAGUGUCGUACCCAACGAGGAGCAGAAGGAAAUGAUAAGCGGUUUCAGUAAGGUUUUCUCUGCAAGAACUGAAAUAGUAGGUGAUAGAUAGUUUUGUGAUAAGAUAAAUAGUAACGAGCAAAAGUAAAUAAAGUAAAUAAGGUGCAGCAAGGUGGCCCAAUCCUUUAUGUAGCAAAGGAUAAGCCUGGACAAAUUCUAAUAAUAAUGAAGGAGCUCCCGAGGACACAUUGGGAAUUAUCGUCAAGCUAGUUUCAUCACGUUCAUAAGAUUCGCGUUCGGAACUUUGAUAAUUUGAUAUGUGGGUGGACCGACACUUGGGUACUUCCCUAACUUGGACAAUCAUCCCACUUAUGAUUAACCCCUAUUGCAAGCAUCCGCAACUACAAAAAGGAGUAUUAAGGUAAACCUAACCACAUCAUUAAACACAUGGGUCCAUAUCAACCCCUAACGAAGCAACGCAUAAACUAGGGUUUAAGCUUCUGUCACUCUACCAACCCAUCAUUUACUUAUUACUUCCCUAUGCCUUCCUCUAGGCCCAAAUAAUGGUGAAGUGUCAUGUAGUCGAUGUUCACAUAACCCCACUAGAGGCGAGACAACAUACAUCUCAUCAAAAUAUGGAAUGAAUACCAAAUUCACAUGACUACUAAUAGCAAGACUUCACCCAAGUCCUCAGGAACUAAAGUAACUACUCACAAAGCAUGAUCAUGUUCAUAAUCAGAGGUGUAAUACUAUGCAUUAAGGAUCUGAACAUAUAAUCUUCCACCAAGUAAACCUAUAAGUAUCAACUACAAGGAGUAAUCAACACUACUAGCAACCCACAGGUACCAAUUUGUGGUUGUGGAUACAAGAUUGGAUACAAGAGAUGAACUAGGGUUUGAGAGGAGAUGGUGCUGGUGAAGAUGUUGAUGGAGAUUGACCCCCUCCCGAUGAGAUGAUUGUUGGUGAUGAUGUUGGUGAUGAUUUCCCCCUGCCAGAGGGAAGUGUCCCUGAUAGAACAGCUCCGCUAGAGCCCUAGAUUGAUUCCACCAAGGUUCCGCCUCGUGGCGGCGGAGUUUCGUCCUGUAAGCUUGCCCACGAAUUUUUCCAGGACAAAACCCUUCAUAUAGCAGAAGAUGGUCGCCGGAAGCCCACCAGGGGGCCCAGGAGAUAGGGGGGCGCGCCCUAUAGGGGGGGCGCCCCCUGUCUCCUGGACAGGGUGUGGGCGCCCUGGCCUAUUUCUUUCGCUCAUAAAUUCUUAAUAAAUCCAAAAAGUGGUUUCGUGGAGUUUCAGGACUUUUGGAGUUGUGCAGAAUAGGUUCCUAACGUUUGCUCCUUUUUCAGUCAGAAUUCCAGCUACCGGCAUUCCCCAUCUUCAUGGUAAACCUUGUAAAAUAAGAGAGAAUAUCCAUAAGUAUUGAUAUAUAAUGUGUAAUAACAGCCCAUAAUGCAAUAAAUAUUGAUAUAAAAGCAUGAUGCAAAAUGGACGUAUCAGGGAGCACUUCACUACAAAAAAAUACACUUCCGUGAUGAUACGUGUUUAUCACAGUAGGUCGCAUUUUUUGUCAUGCAUGUACAUCCAUGACGAUUUUAUGACAGCAUCAAGAUAGUCAUACAUGUGCUAUCGUAGAAGUGUUCCAUGACAUUACCAAAAUUAUCAUCACGAAAGUGCCUACUUCCAUGACGAUAAAUCGCGCGUCACAGAAGUGCUUUCGUGAAGGGUGACCGACACGUGGCAUCCACCGUAACGGAACACCGUUAAGCUAUCGGGUCGGGUUUUGGAUCCGAUAACCCGUUAACAACCCCGACCAAUGGGGAUUUUCCACAUGUAAAAUCAUCAUUGGCUGGAGGAGACACGUGUCAGCUCCGCGUUGGCACAGGUGUCACUCAUCCAAUGGGCGAGACACGCCUAUGAUAUGUUGACACAUGGACUGGCCCAUCAAGUUUAAAUGGGCCAACCCAACUAAAGGCCCACAAGAUUUCACGGACCAUAAUGUGCCGGUCCAGCUAAAGGCCCAUGAGAUUUUGCGGACCAUAAUGGGCUGGCCCAGCUAAAGGCCCACAAGAUUUUGCGGGCCAUAAUGGGCCGGCCCAGGUAAAGGCCCACAAGAUUUUUGUGUGCCAUAAUGGGCCGGCCCAGGUAAAGGCCCACAAGAUUCUUGUGGAUCAUAAUGGGCCGGCCCAGCUAAAGGCCCACGAGAUUUUGCCGACAUUAAUGGGCCGGCCCAGCUGUAGGCCCAUAAGAUUUUGACGACCCUAGUAGGCCGGCCCAUUAACUAGCUGCCAUGUUUUGGGCCAAAUGUUGGCCCAUAUUUGAUCCGGUCCAUUAAUGGCCUGCCAUGUUCCGGGCCUAAUAAUGGCCCAUCUGAGAUCUGGCCCGUUAAAAGCAUGCCACGUUCUCGGCCAAAUUACGGCCCAGAUCAGGUCCGACCCUUUAAGAGGCUUUGGGCUAAAUUAUGGCCCAUAUCAGAUUUGGCCCGUCAACUAGACGCUAUGCUUUUGGGCCCACUUGCUAAAGGCCCAUUUAGUAAUUUGGCCUGAUAUUAGUUUCGGCCUGUUAAGGGCCCGUUUAACAUUUCGGCCCUAUAUUAAUUUCGGCAUGUUAAAAGCCAAUCAUAUAGUUGGGCCUAACUAUGACCCGGUUUGCAUCCGGCCUGCUCGCAGCCGAUAUCUAAUUGGGACAAACAAGGACCAAGACAAUUUUGGCCUGUUAAAAGCCCGUGAUUUGAUUCGCACAAUCAUGGGUCGGGGUCCAUUUCGGGCUGCUGCCGGCCCGUGAGCUGUUCGGCACGUUUCAGGCCCAACCUACUUCUCAGCCUCCUAAAAGCCCAUUGAAUUUUCUCGUGAAAAGAGGGCCGGGGGUUACUCGGCCCAUUAAAGGGCCCAAUCUACUAGUGGUCGGGUUUACUUUUGGCCUUUUAAUGGACCAAGAUGACGGGGCCCAUGAUGCGAGUCAUACAUCAUGAUUGCAUGAUGGCCCGAUUAUGUACCAUAAUUUUACGGUUUGGCCGGUUUACUUCAAAGAGAGGAUAUAUAUAUAUACAGUAAAAUAACUGCAGCAUCGUGAAUAAGAAAAAACCUAGACUAUACAAUAAAGAAAUUACGGCAUAUUACAUCCACUAGGCAUCAAAGUACGCCACUAUUAUAAUAAAGCACAAGCAGAUAGCAGAUUACAUACACUGAGCAUCAAAGAUCGCCACCAGUGCAAAUAAACACACCGACAGAAUAAUGUGCAAAAUCAACAACACUUCAAUAGAGUUCAAGAAAGGUUAGCCCUGCUGGGGAGCUGCAGCGCAAGCAGCUGAGCAAGCUGAUGAGACUGCGCUUGUUCAACACUUAUAUCUUCCUCACUCUGAAAGAUAAACAAACAGACAGAUGACAAGUUUUGCACAUAAAAGUAUCAGUGCUGACAAUUCAUCACAUUUCUUACUGAUGAAUAAAGUGACACAGUUUAAAAUUGCAUUAACACAAUAUGGUAUUGUUCAGGUCAAGACAUGGCAGGAAAUGACAUUGUGAAGGAGUUGUCAGCUUCACGACACCACUGGAUUACAGAUCAAGAACUCAUAAGUAUCAAUGGUAGUGUGCUGUCAAUUUAUCCCAUUUCAGAUUGGCAAAUAAAGAGACGGUUUAAAUAAUAGUAGAAUGAUAUGACAUUGUUCAUAGUUAAGACAUUGUAGAAUAUGACAUUGUGCUGUAGUGGGUAGGUUCACCACACCACUGGAUUACGGAUGAAGAACAGAAGCAUACAUGAAGUGCAAAAGAAGAUCACUUGCUCUGUAUAGUUUAAUUUACAUGGUAUGAAGAAGGAACUUGGUUGUACAACUGAAAACUUAAAUUGAGAAGGACAAAUUUUUGUUUAUGAACUACAUAAUAAACUUUAAGCAUGCAAUUUGAUGCAAACACCAAAAAUAAACAGUUGUUGCAGUCAUGCCUAACCAAAUAUACACAACAAAGUUUGAAGGCUUGAGAAGGACAAACUUACAUUAUUGGUGAAGACAGACUUUAUAAAGCCCUUGUCCAUGCUGAUGGGGGGGGGGGGCAAUUCAAGAAGUUUACCACAGAAUCUUCUUCAUAAGCAUUGCCUUUAUUCUACAUUUUGUUAAUAGUAAAUAUAGAUGUGAUAAUAUACGAAAAAAUGGAGAAUAUUUAAGAUAAGAUGAAGAGUGAUGCUACAUAACCAAGUAGCUAUAAAUGUAAGUGCAGCGAUACAAACAAAAGGUACAACCAAGAGCAAUGCAUAGCUAAACUUCUUCAGUACCAACCUCAUGGUAAGAGUAAAUAUAGAUCUGAUAUGUAGAAAAUGAAGGGUAAAGGAAAAUAAGCUGCAGAGUGAUGGUACAUGAACAACUACCUGUCAAUAUAAGUACACUGAUAAAGGACAACAUGUACGUACAAGAACAAUGCAGAGUUAAAAAAAUUCAUUGGCAUUGGAUAUAUUCUACACUAAUGUAACCAUUCAUACAGGUUAGAUAAUUUGGAGCGAACAAUUGAUAAGCAAGCUAUCAUGCAUACUGCUGUCACAUAAUGAACCAGGUAUGUAUGCAAGUAUAGUGAUACAGGACAAUAGGUACUAACAAGAGCAACGCAGCGGGCAACAUAUUUGCGAUAUCCUGUCGUUCUUUUCAAACCGGAAUUCUUCAUCGAGCAGAUUUCUUGCAAAAAAUAUCCAUAAGGCACAUGCGGAAAAGUAGAAGUUCAAAUUGUCAUGUGAUUUCAUAGACAGUACCUCAUCCUGGGAACGAGACCAGUGCAUAACAAGGUUUUUCCAUUCAAUGUCUUCUAAAUUUAGCACAAGAGACUUCACCAGAAAUUCAUUUAUAGACUUGCCAUCAAAGUGUGAUUUCCCCAGGUAACACCGAUACUGCUGCAAUGCUUCCUUGAAAAGCACAAGCAAGCUUUGCUCGUCAUGACUAUCCAGAUUGACCCUCGCCUAGUUACAACAAUGUAAUGUAAAUCAUUGAUGUGUUCAAUCAGCAGAAAACAGGAAAAUAAUAACCAUGAAUAAUAGCACUUACACGUAAGUUUGAUAGGAAGAUGUGAAAAUGGUGUUUGUCUUCACUAUAAUCUUCCCAUGAUGAGAAUAUAUGCACGUAGUCCCUAACAACAUUGAAAGCAAGGUCUUUUAAACUGGGAAUAAAUAGAAUGGGGUUCCAAUCUGCAGGAAUUGGCCGUCUCUGCAGUUGGGAUAGGUCUUCGGACGGUGGACUUGCUGCACUUUUUGUUGGAGCGAGAUUUUUCUGUGGUACGGCUGGUGCUAUGGCAAAUGAAAUCGGUAUACCUUUUGCUGGAGUGCAGGUCCUGUGUGGUGGGGCUAGUGGUGUGGCCAGUGAAGUAUGGGUACAGUCUGCUGGAGUCGGUCCUACGUUUUGUGUCACUGGUUGUACAACCAAUAUAAGUGGGGUGUUGUCUGAUUUCUCCGGCACCACCAUGUUUUUCAAGGACUUUGCUGGUGCUCCUUCAGGUUCGGCAAUCACCCUCUUCCUUUUGAUGUCUGAUGCACAAGAACAACAUUUGAGUGGAAAAACAUGGUAUGAUGACAGAUGGAAUAUGUAUUGAUAAUGGAUGGGCACUGCAUCUCGACAUAUAUGAUGAGUAAACUAAGCAGAUGGCGGUGCAACAAAGUAGAAGAAAUGCAAGAUACGCGCAAUCAAUAAAACCUUGCCAAAUUAGAACAGACACCUUGAUGGGUGAACAAGACAGGCCAUCUGCCUUUGACUCCUCAAGGUUAGAAUAGUCAUCAGGAUCAUAUUCUGAACAAGAAUCAACAAGUGGGAAGCGUAUGAGUUUCAUUACAUCCAGAAUGGCACUCAAUGCCUUGGUGCCAAUUUUGUAAGUCAUUACAGUGUUUAGCUUCAAGAGUGGACUGCUGCUAGUGUGACACAAAGCAGCUACACAGAUCAUAGUGUAGAUAUAACGGGGAAAACCGUAAGCAUCAGAGUAAAAUCAGCAAAGUGGAACUUGCUGGAAUAUAUGUGCUAGUACUGCCGAUACGGCUAGAAAGGCUUCAGAUACCAGUUCUCUUCAACUAAAGGUGUGGUAUUGUUAGUAUCAGUGUAACUCUCAAAGGCGACACAACUCCCUGCAUUUCCUUGAUAUUCUUAUAGGAUUCAAGUGGGCAGGUCACUACAAAUCCUAUUCCUAUGUUUACAAAAUCCUACGAAUCAAAGAGGCUCAAAGUGUCCAUCACAACCGACCCUAUAGACCUCUACACUGCAAAUGUCCCUGCUCAUCUUCAGUACAAGGAACAUACUGUACUACUAUCAUACUCCCUCCUUUCCAAAAUAUAAGUCUUGGUAGAGAUUUCCACUAUGGAUCACAUACAGAUGUAUCCAGAUACAUUUUAGACUGUAGAUUCACUCAUUUUGCUCCAUAUGUAGUCCAUGGUGGAAUCUAUACAAAGACUUGUAUUUAUGAAUGGGGAGAGUACAUAUUAAAGAAGAACGAAAGAGGAACAUGGUAAAGAAAAGCAAGCAGAUUUUGGAUAAUAAAAUGUUGGUUGCGCAGUGCCCACACAUGAUGAACCAGAGCGCAUUAAGAAUGCAACUCCCAGUUGUCUCUCGACCAUUUCUGGCGGUUGGAUGAAGAUCCUACGUCUCCUAAUCCUUCUUCCUCGUCUUUGAUUCUUCCCAUACAGAACACCGCACGGGCCGUCGGCCGGACCACAGGCCCCCACCGCUUGUGUUCCUCCGCCACCCCCACCCCCGCCCCCACCGCCACCUACGUCAAGUUUUCUUCAUUCGGCGAGGCUGCACAACCACCCGAGCCCCUUCAUUUGCACCGGCCAACUCCUGCGAGCUCUGUAAAAUCGACUGGCCCAAUUUUGAAAUUUAGUCUACUGUCAUUUAACUAGUGUGGAAUAUAAAAGGGGAAAACCAUAAGCAUUGGGAGUAUAGUGUUGAGCGUGCCAUGGCGGAUCUGAAGGUGCAAACCGGACAAAGGCAACUUUGCAACCAAGACAAGAAAUUAGAGUAAAUCAGGUUCGGCAAUCACCCUCUUCCUUUUUGAUGUCUGAUGCACAAGAACAACAUUUGAGUGGAAAAACAUGGUAUGAUGACAGAUGGAAUAUGUAUUGAUAAUGGAUGGGCAUGGCAUCUCGACAUAUAUGAUGAGUAAACUAAGCAGAUGGCGGCGCAACAAAGUAGAAAAAAUGCAAGACAACAUAUGCAAGAUACGCGCAAUCAAUAAAACCUUGCCAAAUUAGAACAUGCACCUUGAUGGGUGAACAGGACAUGCCAUCUGCCUUUGACUCCUCGAGGUUAGAAUAGUCAUUAGGAUCAUAUUCUGAACAAGAAUCAACAGGUGGGGAGCGUAUGAGUUUCAUUACAUACAGAAUGGCACUCAAUGCCUUGGUACCAAUUUUGUAAGUCAUUGCAGUGUUUAGCUUCAAGAGUGGACUACUGCUAGUGCGACACAAAGCAGCUACAUAGAUCAUAGUGUAGAUAUAACGGGGAAAACCGUAAGCAUCAGAGUAAAAUCAGCAAAGUGGAACUUGCUGGAAUAUAUGUGCUAGUAUUGCCGAUACGGCUAGAAAGGCUUUGGAUACCAGUUCUCUUCAACUGAAGGUGCGGUACUGUUAAUAUGAACUGAAGGACCGGGUCAAGCGCAAACCUCGUUUCUUCUUUGAAACAGGGUGGUUUGAGGUCGAGGGAUUCGGUCCCCUGCUCAUUGCAUGCUGGGAGCAUGCAAGAGCUGCGAUCGGUUGCUGCAGGGGUCCCCUGGACACUUGGAUCUCGGCGGCUGGUGCCCUUUGGGGUUUCCUCCGUGGGUGGGGUGCAAACCACGGGAGCAAAGCGAAACGCGCUAGGGAAGCUAUUAUUGCUGAAAUUAAAGCCCUAGACGUGCAAGCUGAUUCCAGACCCUUCCUGGAAGCUGAAUGGGCCAAUCGUUACGCACAUGAGAACCAGGUGCUUGCCAUUUUUAGGGAGGAGGAGGAAUACUGGCGUCGUCGGGGCGGCGUCAAGUGGAUUACCAAGGGCGAUGCGAAUACGGGAUAUUUCCACGCCUUUGCCAAUGGUCGUAAACGGAAGUGCUCGAUUUUGAGACUUCAAGCUGAUCAAGGGAUGUUGGUGAGUCAGGCUGAUAUUGCGGCACACAUCUACGACUUCUUUCUCAAAUUGUUGGGAAUAGCCGAGGAGAAGGCCCUUCAGCUUCGGGCGGACUUCUGGGGGAAGAUGGCCGCGUGUCUCAAGCCGAAAACGACCUCUUGGCUUUGACUUUUUCCAUGGAGGAGAUCGACGAAGCCGUGGGAGCAAUGAAGAUUGACACUGCGCCUGGCCCUAACGGCUGGCCGGUCACGUUCUUCCGUCGUUUCUGGCCUGUGUUUAAGGACCUCUUCUACGGGAUUAUUAAUGGUUUUGCGUUAGGUACGGUAGAUGUUUCGCGCCUUAACUAUGGAGUCAUCAGCCUCAUUCCCAAAGUCAAAGGCGCCGACACUAUCAAGAAGUACCGUCCUAUUACUCUUAUUAACGUGCCUUUCAAGAUUUGCUCAAAGGCUUAUGCAACCAGACUUGCUCCGGUAGCGCAGCGCGUUAUCAACCGUAGCCAGUCUGGUUUUCUCAAAGGUCGCAACAUUCUCGAAGGCCCGAUAGUGUUGCAGGAGACCGUGCACGAGCUUAAACGCACUGGGAAAUCGGCCGUGCUCCUUAAGCUCGACUUUGAGAAAGCAUAUGAUCGCGUGAACUGGGAGUUCAUCCGCAAGGUGCUGACUCGGAAGGGAUUCGAGUCAGGCUUUGUUCACCGCAUCAUGCACCUGGUCUCGGAAGGCUAGACUGUUGUGUCGAUCAACGGAGAGGUUGGGAACUUCUUCCGCAAUAAACAAGGUCUCAGGCAAGGGGAUCCCUCCUCGCCUCUGAUCUUUAACUUUGUUGCGGAGCCCUUUCAACCAUGGUGCAUAAGGCUAAGGACGCCUGUCACAUCCGCGGGGUGGUCUCUCACCUUAUUCCGGGUGGACUCACACACCUACAAUAUGCGGACGACACCUUGUUGCUCUUUGAGCCUGACGAUCAUAGCGUUGCCUCGAUCAAACUCAUCCUCCUUGCUUUCGAAAUCAUUUCCGGCCUUAAGAUCAAUUUCCUUAAGAGGGAGGUAAUAGCCAUUGGGAUGGACCCUCUACUCGCUACUCGAGUUGCCAACCUGCUUAAUUGCAAUCUAGGGAGCUUUCCAAUUAAGUACUUGGGCCUGCCUAUCUUUGAUAAACACAUUUCUAUUCUGGAAUGGGAGCCCUUGUACGGUAAGGUGGCAAACAGGGUUAGCCCCUGGCGCGGUCGGUUCCUUUCCUCGGCGGCCAGACUGAUCCUGACUUACUCCAGCCUCUCUUCCCUCCCUCUGUUCAUGAUGGGCAUGUUCUUGCUGGCGGAUGGGGUUCAUGCCAAGCUUGAUACGCCUCGAUCCAAGUUCUUUUGGGAAGGAACUGGGAUCACAAAGAAGUACCACCUGAUCAAAUGGGCCGUGCUCUGCUGGCCUAAGAAAUUCGGAGGUCUUAGGAUUCUUAACUCCAAACUCAUGAAUGUCGCUCUACUAACCAAGUGGAUUUGGAAACUCUCCCAAAACGAGCAGGGGCUCUGGGCGGAUAUUCUUCGAGCCAAAUACUUCCCAGAUGGGAAUUUUCUCACCUCCAAAGCUAAGGGCUCCACUUUUUGGAAUGGGAUCCAGAAAGUUAUGCCUGCCUUCACUUUAGGAGCCAAGUUUUGCAUCAACAAUGGGUCCUCAAUGCCAUUUUGGCUGGACCAUUGGUUUGGCACGGAACCCUUGUGGAAAAGCCACUCCAUUGCCUAUCGAUUAGCCACUAACGUUGAUAUCCUAGUGGUUGAUGCGCUGCGCACCAACCCGCCCACGGUUUCCUUCAAAAGACCCCUCCUCGAUAUCGAACGAGCCUGUUGGGACGGGCUCAUAGCUACUCUUGAGGGAGUGGUUCUUCACCCUGAGGCCGACUCGGUCUCUUGGGCUCUAUCGCGCUCGGGGAAAUUUUUCGUCCAAUCCAUGUACAACAAACUGACCGAGGGGCCGACCCUGGACAUAGCUAGGGGGCUAUGGAAAGAAUCUAUCCCCUUGAAGAUAAAAAUUUUCUUGUGGCAGAUGUUUCGUGAUCGCCUUCCCUCCUCCAAUAAUAUCGCGUGUAGGAAUGGGCCUUCCGAUGGCUCUUGCAUUCUCUAUGGCCAACAUGAAGAUGCCAACCACAUCUUUUUUAAUUGUUACCUCGCUCGCUUUGCUUGGAGUGCGGUUAGGGAGGUGUUCGACUAGAACUGGAACCCGCGCUCAGCUUUGGACCUUCGCGCUAUUCUUGUCGCUCAUAGGGGCGGUUUCGACCGUGUUUUAUGGAGAUGUGUGGGAGCUUUGUUUUGGGCCAUUUGGUCUACACGCAAUAAGAUGACUAUUGAACACAAAUUUCCUUCACACCCGGCUGACAUUAUCUUCAAAUGCCACUUGUUCCUUUAGACAUGGACGUCGUUGGGGAAAUGGCGUGAUGCGGAUCGGAUGACGGGGCUAUGGAGCGGAUCGGUUGAUUCAGAUUGGUGCCCGCCACUAGCCUGCCGUGGGUUGUGACCUUUUGGACCGGCUACUUGCACGCUGCUACUUCAUUUCUCAUUCUCUCGCAGGCUUCGGCCGGUAGCAUGUAUCACACCUUGGCUGCGGCCUUUUUUCCAUUUUCUAUUCUAUGUUGAACUUGUUGGAUUCUGCCUCAUGUGGGCUUUAUUAAUUUAAAGCCGGACGCUCCCGGCGUCUUCGUUCUAAAAAAGGAUUGGGGAAGUGGUGGGUCGAUGUGUUCGGGUCGUGGGGGUGGUGGUUUCUUUUUUCUUCUCCACGGGUUCCACAGUUCGGGAACAUAUUCAUCAGGCUAUAUAGGGCCAACCGUUAUCCGAAUAACUAUUCUGAUCGUGGGAUCAGAAUAGUGCUCUUCUCUCUAUGUAUACUAGCAAAAGAGCCCGUGCAUUGCAACGGGAGAGAAAACAUAACACAUACUCUUAACUCAAAAACCAUCACUCAAGACCAUAAUAGGUCCAUCUCCUUUACUUUUGCGAGGCAUCAUAUUUGUGUUGCCGCUUAUCCUCCUUCUCACCCUCGCCGGCGAUGGCCUCGGUGUUCACAUAAAACAACAAAAAAUGUCUGUUGAAUACGGUUAAUCCUAAGGCGUCUCUCUCUCCCUCUCUCCUCCCUCUCCCUCUCUCUCUCCCCCUCUCUCUCGCUCGCUUUCUCUCACUCUCGCGAUGAGAAAUCUGUUGUUUUCCCUUGCGACAUUUUUCAGAGGUAUGCACGUGUAGUUAUCGAUGUUUUCUUUUCCGUAUAUGGUUAUAGUGGGGUAUUUAUUUGCAAUCUGGAUCGCCGCCGGUAUGAAAAAGCGGAUCUUGCGCUAUAAAUUAUAAGUUUGCUUCCAUAACAAUAUUUUAAAAAUAUUUAACAGGUAAAAUUAACAUCAUAUUUAGAUUCCACACAUUUUUCUAAUAAAAUUUCAUAUAUAAUAUGUUAAAAUCGAAGUUACGGUUUAAAAGAUACAAAUAAUUUAGAAAAUCAUUUGGUUGACUCAAAUAUAUUCCAAAAUAAUAUUUAAAAAUACUUAACAAGUAAAAAUAAUCUCAUAUUCAUAUUCUACAUAUUUUUCUAAUCAAAUUUCAUAUAUAACAUGUUCAAAUCGAGUUACGGUUUAAAAGAUAUGGAUGAUUUUAAAAAGCAUUUGUUUGACUUAAAUAUGAUCCACGGAUAAAUUACCUAAAACAUCAGGGGGGGGUUUAAAAAUGUAAAAUAACGGUUCGGAUGUAACUUAAAUCCGGACAGCGGGUUGAUUUCAAGAAAAGACAUGGACUUUUGUGUAAAAUACGAAAAUAAUGCUUCAUUUUAACCAUAAAUAGGACUGCAGGUUGAAUUCUUUGAAAUAGAGGCACUUUUCUGAAAAAAUGCCAUGACGGACGAAAGAAACCCAAUUUGCUUUAUUAUUAGGUAAAGAUAUAUACAUACCAUAUUUAUAAGAAACAAUAACCCCUCCUAAGUCAAAUUAACCACUCUCGUUGUCAGGCAAAAAGUAGUGAUGGACCAAGCAGGCCCAUAAAUAUAAAUCAUCGAUAUCGCUGAUAACCGCUUAAGUGGGUGUGAGAGGACAACCACCGUCGCUUUGCAAGUGGGUCAAACAUAUGUUGAAUAUAAUACAUAAAAUGGACAACUUUGAUGUGUCACACAUGCCUCAAAAACCGUAAACCAUAUAAUAAAGGAGCAUCAUUAAUCAUCCAAAUAGAAAAACAAUAUACAUGCCACCACGCGCCCCGUGUACCGUGCGAGCAGGCGUGAGUUGAUGGGACGCAUGCGAGCAGUCCGUCACGCAGGCAGACCGGGAGGCAUGCGCGCAGGUGUGUGAAUUGACGGAGGCGUGCUUGCUGCGCAGUGUCAUUGGGAGGCGUGCAAGUAGCUGUGCAAAACGAUGGUAGGCAUGCCAGCAGUCCGGUGCGUAGGCUCACCGGGAGGCGAGCCAGCGGUUUGACCGCCGCCCGCCUCUCUCCCACUACUCCAUAUUAAUGGUGUGCCCGAGCGUCCGCACCCCCAUCCUCUCCACACACACAAUCCCCUCUCUCCGCUUGCAUCCUCGACGCCGCUCUCAGUCAUCAAAGCCGUCAGUGUAUGAGGAUGCCGCCGAAGCGCCCCAUCGGAGGGAGUGGCGACGCUGGGGCUGCUAAAGCACCGGAGCAUGACGUGGAGAUGGAGACAGAAAUUGCCGUCAUCGACGGCAUCGAGCUUCCAUAGUCGGAGGCGGAGUUCCACACCGACUCUAGUGACGACUCGGGCGAUGACUCCGACGACCACUCCGACGACGACUCCGACGACAACGGACAACUGGUUAGUCAUCUAUACCCAUUUAGGUGUCAAAUAGAUCCCAAGGUUUCUCUGGUUACUCCUGCCUCCCCCUUUUUGGAAUAGAAAUCAUAUGGUUAUGUUCUUUCAAUCCAUGAAAUCUGAGUAAGUUCCAUUAGAUCCGUGUAGUGUAUUGAUUGUUUGAAUGGUACAAGUGAUAAGUGAUUAUUUGUUUCAUAUGUGGAAAUGAUUUCUGCUAGUAAUUUGACUAGGGUUAGUGUUUGUGCUAAUAAUUCCUAGCCAGGACUUGACAAUUGAUUUUGAAUGACCUACAUAUGUUUGUGCCACUAUUUUAUUCAAGAUUGGUCUGUACAUAGACGAAUAUGCUUAAAAAUCAAACCAUAAUCUCUGGAUAUGUAUAAAAAUAGCCAUAAAUUCCUAAUCCUACUUCAUGGCAUGUAAUUGUUGAUUUGAUGCCAAUUUUUGGCAACUGCCAAAUGUUCACUAGAAACUAGUUUGUAACCAUUAAUUUGGCGCCACAUUUUUUGUACUAUUUGUAUAGGUGUUGUCUGAGGAUGUGGACAACGAGGAUGAAGAUGUACAUAGGAGGUACAAGAGGGAAAUCCUAAGGGAGCUUUAUGCGGGAAUGCAUAACAGGCGUAUUAGGACCUGGAACAACGGCUAUCGAUGCCCAUUCUGCAACCACAAACUUGAUGACGCGUAUCAAAGUAUUCUGGCGCAUGCAAGAGGACGGGCCGUUGGCUCCUUCAAGAAGAAGUAUGUGAAGGAAAUAUGCCCUAGAGGCAAUAAUAAAGUUAUUAUUUAUUUCCUUAUAUCACGAUGAAUGUUUAUUAUUCAUGCUAGAAUUGUAUUAACCGGAAACAUAAUACAUGUGUGAAUAAAUAGACAAACUGAGUGUCACUAGUAUGCCUCUACUUGACUAGCUCGUUUAUCAAAGAUGGUUGUGUUUCCUAGCCAUGGACAAAAGAGUUGUCAUAUGAUUAAUGGGAUCACAUCAUUGGGAGAAUGAUGUGAUUGACAUGACCCAUUCCGUUAGCUUAGCACUUGAUCGUUUAGUAUGUUGCUACUCCUUUCUUCAUGACUUAUAUAUGUUCCUGUGACUAUGAGAUUAUGCAACUCCCGUUUACCGGAGGAACACUUUGUGUGCUACCAAACAUCACAACGUAACUGGGUGAUUAUAAAGGUGCUCUACAUGUGUCUCCAAAGGUACUUGUUGGGUUGGCGUAUUUCGAGAUUAGGAUUUGUCACUCCGAUUGUCGAAGAGGUAUCUCUGGGCCCACUCAGUAAUUGAUACGUCUCCAACGUAUCUAUAAUUUUUGAUUGCUCCAUGCUACUUUAUCUACUGUUUUAGGCAAUAUUGGGCUUUAUUAUCCACUUCUAUAUUAUUUUGGGGACUAACCUAUUAACCGGAGGCCCAGCCCAGAUUUCCUGUUUUAUGCCUAUUUCAGUGUUUCCAGGAAAAGGAAUAUCAGACAGAGUCAAAACGGAACGAAAUCAACUGGAGAAGUUAUUUUUGGAAGGAAAGCAACCCAGGGAACUUGGAGUGCACGUCAGGGGAGAUACGGGCUGCCCACGAGGGUGGGGGGCGCCCCCCUGGGCACGCCCCCUGCCUCGUGGGGCCCCCGUAGCUCCUCCGACGUACCCCCUGCACCCAUAUAUACUCUUGUACCCUAAAACUUCCAAAACAGAAGAUAGAUCGGGAGUUCCGCCGCCGCAAGCCUCUGUAGCCACCAAAAACCAAUCGGGGCCCUGUUCCGACACCCUGCCGGAGGGGGAUCCCAUCACCGGAGGCCAUCUUCAUCAUCCCGGCGCUAUCCAUGACGAGGAGGGAGUAGUUCACCCUUGGGGCUGAGGGUAUGUACCAAUAGCUAUGUGUUUGAUCUCUCUCGUGUUCUCUCUCGUGUUCCUGUAUGGCACGAUCUUGAUGUAUCCCGAGCUUUGCUAUUGUAGUUGGAUCUUAUGAUGUUUCUCCCCCUCUACUCUCUUGUGAUGAAUUGAGUUUCCCCUUUGAAGUUAUCUUAUCGGAUUGAGUCUUUUAUGAGAACACUUGAUGUAUGUCUUGCCGUGAUUAUCUGUGGUGACAAUGGGAUAUCAUGUGCCACUUGAUGUAUGUUUUGGUGAUCAACUUGCGGGUUUCGUGACAUUGGGAACCUAUGCAUAGGGGUUGGCACACAUUCUUGACUCUCCGAUAGAAACUUUGGGGCACUCUUUGAAGUACUUUGUGUUGGUUGGAUGAAUCUGAGAUUGUGUGAUGCAUAUCGUAUAAUCAUGCCCACGGAUACUUGAGGUGACAAUGGAGUAUCUAGGUGACAUUAGGAUUUUGGUUGAUUUGUGUCUUAAGGUGUUAUUCUAGUACGAACUCUUUUAUAGAUCAAUCCGAAAGAAUAACUUUGAGGUGGUUUCGUACCCUACCAUAAUCUCUACGUUUGUUCUCCGCUAUUAGUGGCUUUGGAGUGACUCUUUGUUGCAUGUUGAGGGCUUGUUAUAUGAUCUAUCUAUGUUAUUAUUGUCGAGAGAACUUGCACUAGUGAAAGUAUGAACCCUAGGCCUUGUUUCCUAUCAUUGCAAUACCGUUUACGCUCACUUUUAUCAUUAGUUACCUUGCUGUUUUUAUUAUUUCAGAUUACAAAAACCUAUAUCUACUAUCUAUUUUGCACUUGUAUCACCAUCUCUUCGCCGAACUAGUGCACCUAUACAAUUUACCAUUGUAUUGGGUGUGUUGGGGACACAAGAGACUCUUUGUUAUUUGGCUGCAGGGUUGUUUGAGAGAGACCAUCUUCAUCCCACGCCUCCUACAGAUUGAUAAACCUUAGGUCAUCCACUUGAGGGAAAUUUGCUACUGUCCUACAAACCUGUGCACUUGCAGGCCCAACAAUGUCUACAAGAAGAAGGUUGUGUAGUAGACAUCAAGCUCUUUUCUGGCGCCGUUGCCGGGGAGGUUAGCGCUUGAAGGUAUAUCUUUAGAUCUUGCAAUCAAAUCUUUUUGUUUCUUGUUUUAGCACUAGUUUAGUUUAUAAAGAAAACUACAAAAAAAUGGAAUUGAGUUUGUCUCAUACGCUUCGUCUUUUUAAUAUCUUUCGUGAGAAUGAUGGAAAGGAAAAUUGUGCUCAAGUACUAGAACAAGAAUCUCUAAAUUGUUUGGCACUAAAUAUUUGAAUGAUGAGCAUGAUUGUAAUGUAGUUAGUACGAAUUCUUUGAAUAUCCAUGAUGCUAAUGAUGAUUGCACUAGUUAUGAUAAAAAUGUCUCCUAUAAGCAUGUUGAUUUUUGUGGAGUAGAUUGGAUUUGCAUGGACACACCAAAUAGGGAAGAUAGAUAUUGCAACAGGCAUAAGUACUUAGAAACUAAAUUGUUGCAAGAAAGGAUAGAUGUUUGUCUUUAAGAUUUAAAUUAUCUUGGUCGUACUUGUGGACUUUGCAAUGAAAGUGGUCAUUUAGCUAUCCGAUGCAAAUUGUUUCAUGAUCUAAUCGUGUCCAAAAAUUGUGAUGACUUGAUUUACCUUGCACAUUAUAAUGAACUUAGUUUGCUUAUGGGAUAUGAAGAAAUGAAACGUAUAACCAACUAUCUCCCAGAUUUUGCCCGUUAUAAACUUCUUGGUUUGGAUCUAGAGGAAAUUUAUAUGUAUUGUGCGGUGAAUUGCAUUGAAAAUACUUAUAUUGCCAAUUACAUAAAGAAAAGAAAGCAAAUGGAAGAUGAUGAGAAUACUAAUGAAAGGUAAGAGACUUCCCAAUAUCCUCCUAUUAUUUCUCAUGAUGAAUCGGUAACGAGGAGGAGCUUUCUAUUCAGCCAAUCUCAUCAAUAAGGAGCUCAAAGAGGAAGGUUGAACCUACACAUAAUGUGAAGAAGAAAAAGAAAAGAAGGAGCAACAAAGGUAAAAAGGUAUCCCUCCCAAAUGAUUUUUCUCCUACUACUACUUGUGAUGAUGAUAAUUGCUAUACUAUUGGUGCUAUUCGUAUUUUCAAUGAUGAGAGUGAUUAUGCUUAUGAUAUGAAAGGGCCCAAGCUUGGGGAAGCUAUGUUUGAUGAGGAUGAAAUAUUUGAGAAUAUAUUUGCUGGAAUUAAUGUUUGUCCCAAGCUUGGGGAUGCUAUGUUUAAUUAAGAUGAUAUUUUUAGCACCCCAAGUUUUGAUAUGCAAAGUUGUUAUGAUGAUAGCAUGCCUCCUACCUAUGAUGAUUAUAUUGAUGAAAGUGGGUUCGGAAGAGUGUCAACUUUAGGAAGUAGUGAUCCCACUAUUUUGGAGGAUGUUGAAUCUAUUUGUGAUGAAUAUGAAAGUGGAUUUGGAAGAGUGUCAACUUUAUUUAGUGAUUCCACUAUCUUGGGAGAGGUUUCAAUCGAUUAUGAUGAGAACAAAGUUGCUACUUAUGAUGAUUAUUGUGAUGAAACUUAUGCUAUAAAAAGUAGUGAUGAUUAUAUUUACAAAUCUUGUCAUGAUUAUGAUUACCAUUUUUCUGAACAUUACUCUUUUAAUGUGGAAACAAUUUUUAGUGUUCAAGUCUCUUGUGAUACUCCCACUAUUCCGAAUGAGAAGAAUUUUGCUUAUGUGGAGAAUAGUAAAUUUUCUAUGCUAGUAGAUCAUGAAAAGAAUGCUUUAGGUGCUGGUUAUAUUGUUGAAUUCAUUCAUGAUGCUACUGAAAAUUAUUAUGAGGGAGGAACAUAUGCUUGUAGGAGUUGCAAUAAUGUCAAGUUUCCUCUCUAUGUGCUUCAAAUUUUGAACUUAUGCUUGUUUUACUUUCCUAUGCUAGUUGAUCAUUGUUCCCAUAAGUUGUUUGCUCACAAAAUCCCUAUGCAUAGGAAGUGGGUUGGACUUAAAUGUGCUAGUCAUAUGCUUCAUGAUGCUCCCGUUAUUUUUCAAAUCUUAUCUUUUAUGUGAGCAUCAUUGCCAUCAUCAUGCCUAGCUAGAAAGGCAUUAAAGAAAAGCUCUUGUUGGGAGACAAUACAAUAUUUAUCAUUACUGUUUUUGUGUGUCCACAUGAUUAUGAUACUGUAUUAAUCAUGUUUUAUAGCUUUUGUUUCAAUCAAGUGCCAAGUAGAACCUUUGGGAAGACUUGGGUGAAGUUUAUGUGAUCUUGCUGUGAAAAACAGAAACUUUAGUGCUCACGAGAUUAGCUGCCAUUUUUUACUGGAGAGUUCUUUUAGGUUGAUUCUUUUUGCAGAUGAUUAAUAGACAAAUUACUCAGGUCCAUCAAUUUAUUUCAUAAUUUUUGGGGUUGCAUAGGUAUACGUUUGAUACAGAUUACUACAGACUGUUCUGUUUUUGACAGAUUCUGUUUUCAUUGUGUUGUUUGCUUAUUUUGAUGCAUCUAUGGCUAGUAUUAAGUGGUAUGAACCAUAGAGAAGUUGGAAUACAGUAGGAUUUACACCAAUAUAAAUUUAGAAUGAGUUCAUUACAGUACCUAAGUGGUAAUUUAUUUUCUUAUACUAACGGAGCUUACGAGUUUUGUUUUGAGUUUUGUGUGGUUUAAGUUUUCAAGUUUUGGGUAAAGAUUCGAUGGAUUAUGGAAUAAGGAGUGGAAAUAGCCUAAUCUUGGGAUUCCCAAGGAACCCCAAGGUAAUAUUCAAGGACAACCAAGCAACUAAGCUUGGGGAUGCCCCGGAAGGCAUCCCCUCUUUCGUCUUCGUUCAUCGGUAACUUUACUUGGAGCUAUAUUUUUAUUCGCCACAUGAUAUGUGUUUUGCUUGGAGCGUCAUUUUAUUUUGUUAGUUUUUUCUUGCUGUUAGUUAGAAUAAUGUUUUUCAUCUUUAGUUUCAAUAAAAAAAGUCAAGGAUAGCCAUUGCCAUGCUUAUUUUGCUAGUAUACAUGUUGCUGUUUGAAAACAGAAAGUUUACCGCUGUUGCAAAAAUUCCCUAGAAAAGUCAGAGAAUGGUAUAAUGUUGAAUCUUUUUGCAUAUUAAGAUCUGAUAAAUUUAUUACAGUGGGAAUUUUAGUCCAUAAUUGUUGGAGUCAGGGAAGUAUUUAUACUCUUGCAUUUUUUACAGACUGUACUGUUUUGGCAGAUUGCUGUUAUGGUUGCAUUGUUUGCAUAUGUUUGCUUGUUUAAUGAUUAUAUUUGAGGAUAUGAGUAUUAAAUAUACAGAGGCAUUUAGUAUUCAAUGUUGAAUAAUAAUGUUAGUGAUUUGUUACAGUAGAAGAUGAUAUGGUUUUGCAUUGGUUUAUACUAACCUAUCUCACGAGUUCUUGUUGAGUUUGUUGUGAAUGAAGCUUUUGAUAAAAAGAGAAACCAUGGUAUGAGAGGAAUUAAGGAGACACAAAAUUUCAAGCUUGGGGAUGCCCAAGGCACCCCAAGAUAAUAUUUCAAGAAGUCUUGAGCAUCUAAGCUUGGGGAUGCCCCGGUAGGCAUCCCACCUUUCUUCUUCAACAACUAUCGGUUAGUAUCGGUUGAGCCUAAGUUUUUGCUUCUUCACAUGAGUUGUGCUAUCCUUGCAUUGUAGUUUUAUUUAGCUUUUCUUGCUGUUUGAAUAAGUAUCAAGAUCGGAAAUUCUUUAAUGAGAGAGCCAUACACAAAUCGGAAUUUGCUAAAAUACUCUAUGUGCUUCACUUAUAUCUUUUGAGCUUGGUAAUUUUUGCUCUAGUGCUUCACUUAUAUCUUUUAGAGCACGGUGGUGGAUUUGUUUUAAAUAAACUAUUGAACUCUCAUGCUUCACUUAGAUUAUUUUGAGAGUCGUUAAUAGCAUGGUAAUUUUCUUAAUGUUAAUAUACUUGGUAUUCAAGAUAUGUGAAACUUUCUUUUGAGUGCGUUGAAUACUAAGAUAAGUUUGAUGCUAGAUAAUUGUUUUGAGAUAUGGAGGUGAUAAUAUCAAAGCAAUGCUAGUUGGGGUGAUUAUGAAUUUAAAGAAUGCUUGUGUUGAAGUUUGUGAUUCCCGUAGCAUGCACGUAUGGUGAACCGCUUUGUGAUGAAGUCGGAGCACAAUUUUAUUUAUUGAUUGUCUUCCUUAUGAGUGGCAGUCAGGGACGAGCGACGGUCUUUUCCUACCAAUCUAUCCCCCUAGGAGUAUGCGUUUAGUGCUUUGGUUUUUGAUGACUUCUAAAUUUUUGCAACAAGUGCAUGAGUUCUUUUGAUUAAUGUUGAGUCCAUGGAUUAUACACACUCUCACCCUUCCACCAUUGCUAGCCUCUCUAAUACCGCACACUUUUCGUUGGUAUCAUACACCCACCAUAUACCUUCCUCAAAACAGCCACCAUACCUACCUAUCAUGGCAUUUCCAUAGCCAUUCCGAGAUAUAUUGCCAUGCAACUUUCCACCGUUCCGUUCAUAUGACACACAUUACUUUUGUCAUAUUGCUUUUGCAUGAACAUGUAGUUGACAUUGUAUUUGUGGCAAAGCCACUGUUCAUAAUUCUUUCAUACAUGUCACUCUUGAUUCAUUGCAUAUCCCGGUACACCACCGGAGGCAUUCAUAUAGAGUCAUACUUUGUUCUAGUAUUGAGUUGUAAGAAAAAAAUAAAAGUGUGACGAUCAUCAUUAUUAGAGCAUUGUCCCAGUGAGGAAAGGAUGAUGGAGACUAUGAUUCCCCCAUAAGUCGGGAUGAGACUCCGGACUUUAAAAAUAAAUAAAAAAAGAGGUCGAAGAAGCCCACCAAAAAAAUGAGAGAAAAAGAGAGAAGGGACAAUGCUACUAUCCUUUUUCCACACUUGUGCUUCAAAGUAGCACCAUGAUUUUCAUGAUAGAGAGUCUCAUAUGUUGUCACUUUCAUACUAGUGGGAAUUUUUCAUUAUAGAACUUGGCUUGUAUAUUCCAAUGAUGGGUUUCCUCAAAAGUUCCCUAGGUCUUCGUGAGCAAGCAAGUUGGAUGCACACCCACUUAGUUUCUUUUGUUGAGCUUUCAUAUACUUAUAGCGCUAGUGCAUCCAUUGCAUGGCAAUCCCUACUCACUCACAUUGAUAUCUAUUAAUGGGCAUCUCCAUAGCCCAUUGAUACGCCUAGUUGAUGUGAGACUAUCUUCUCCUUUUUUGUCUUCUCCACAACCAUCAUUCUAUUCCACCUAUAGUGCUAUGUCCAUGGCUCACGCUCAUGUAUUGCGUGAAAGUUGAAAUUUUUUGAGAUUACUAAAGUAUGAAACAAUUGCUUGGCUCGUCAUCGGGGUUGUGCAUGAUUAAAUACUUUGUGUGAUGAAGAUAGAGCAUAGCCAGACUAUAUGAUUUUGUAGGGAUAACUUUCUUUAGCCAUGCUAUUUUGAGAAGACAUGAUUGCUUUAAUUAGUAUGCUUGAAGUAUUAUUAUUUUUAUGUCAAUAUGAACUUUUGUCUUGAAUCUUUCGGAUCUGAAUAUUCAUACCACAAUUAAGAAGAUUUACAUUGAAAUUAUGCCAAAGUAUCACUCCGCAUCAAAAAUUCUUUUUUUUCUUUCAUUUACCUACUCGAGGACGAGCAGGAAUUAAGCUUGGGGAUGCUUGAUACGUCUCCAAUGUAUCUAUAAUUUUUGAUUGCUCCAUGCUACUUUAUCUACUGUUUUAGGAAAUAUUGGGCUUUAUUAUCCACUUUUAUAUUAUUUUUGGGACUAACCUAUUAACCGGAGGCCCAGCCCAGAUUUGCUGUUUUAUGCCUAUUUCAGUGUUUCGAGGAAAAGGAAUAUCAGACGGAGUCAAAACGGAACGAAAUCAACUGGAGACGUUAUUUUUGGAAGGAAAGCAACCCAGGGAACUUGGAGUGCACGUCAGGCUGCCCAUGAGGGUGGGGGCGCCCCCCUUGGGCCCGCCCCCCUGCCUCGUGGGGCCCCCGUAGCUCCUUCGACGUACCCCCUGCACCCAUAUAUACUCUUGUACCCUAAAACUUUCAAAACAGAAGAUAGAUCGGCAGUUCCGCCGCCGCAAGCCUGUGUAUCCACCAAAAACCAAUCGGGACCCUAUUCCGGCACCCUGCCGGAGGGGGAUCCUAUCACCGGAGGCCAUAUUCAUCAUCCCGGCACUAUCCACGACGAGGAAGGAGUAGUUCACCCUCGGGGCUGAGGGUAUGUACCAGUAGCUAUGUGUUUGAUCUCUCUCUCUCUCGUGUUCCUCUAUGGCACGAUCUUGAUGUAUCCCGAGCAUUGCUAUUGUAGUUGGAUCUUAUGAUGUUUCUCCCCCUCUACUCUCUUGUGAUGAAUUGAGUUUCCCCUUUGAAGUUAUCUUAUUGGAUUGAGUCUUUUAUGAGAACACUUGAUGUAUGUCUUGCCGUGAUUAUCUGUGGUGACAAUGUGAUAUCAUGUGCCACUUGAUGUAUGUUUUGGUGAUCAACUUGCGGGUUUCGUGACAUUGGGAACCUAUGCAUAGGGGUUAGCACACAUUCUUGACUCUCCGAUAGAAACUUUGGGGCACUCUUUGAAGUACUUUGUGUUGGUUGGAUGAAUCUGAGAUUGUGUGACGCAUACGUAUAAUCAUGCCCAUGGAUACUUGAGGUGACAAUGGUGUAUCUAGGUGACAUUAGGGUUUUGGUUGAUUUGUGUCUUAAGGUGUUUGUCGGUGUCAAAACCGGCGGAUCUCGGGUAGGGGCUCCCGAACUGUGCGUCUAGGCGGAUGGUAACAGGAGACAAGGGACACAAUGUUUUUACCCAGGUUCAGGCCCUCUCGAUGGAGGUAAAACCCUACUCCUGCUUGAUUAAUAUUGAUGAUAUGGGUAGUACAAGAGUUGAUUUACCACGAGAUCAGAGAGGCUAAACCCUAGAAGCUAGCCUAUGGUAUGAUUGUUGUUCGUCCUACGGACUAAAACUCUCCGGUUUAUAUAGACACCGGAGAGGGCUAGGGUUACACAGAGUCGGUUACAAUGGGAGGAGAUCUACAUACCGUAUCGCCAAGCUUGCCUUCCACGCCAAUGAAAGUCCUAUCCGGACACGGGACGAAGUCUUCAAUCUUGUAUCUUCAUAGUCCGGGAGUCCGGCCAAAGGUCAUAGUCCGACCAUCCAGACACCCCCUAAUCCAGGACUCCCUCAGCAGCCCCUGAACUAGGGUUCAAUGACGACGAGUCCCGCGCGCAAAUUGUCUUCGGCAUUGCAAGGUGGGUUCCUCCUCCGAAUACUUCAUAGAAGAUGUUUGAACACAAGGAUAGUGUCCGACUCUGCAAAAUAAGUUCCACAUACCACCGUAGAGAGAAUAAUAUUUACACAAAUCUAAUCUGCUGACGUAUUCUAUAGUGUGACAUCAUGCCACGACCAAGCCUGUAUUCAAAUUGUUUUACUGUCCCACCUCAGUGUGUUUAGCGAGGCGGUUUCCUUGGCACGUCUUGUCAAAGCAGAGAUCGUGUCCCCUUAUUCCGGGAUUCUCAUCAAUACGGGCGUGGGUAACCCAACCACGCCAUUAAUCGCGGUGCUUGGGAGAUAAGCGAGUUUUACUAGGCUGGUGGGGGCACAUAGCUUCAGCCGCCCAUAUAAGGGGAUAAGGAUCCACCCUUUCAAUCUAUGCCUUCUUCCUCCUUUGCUUAUCCAUUUCCGCGCACUCGAGCUCCAGCGCCCAAGUCCGCACUUCCCACCUCAACCUUCUCCAAUCAUGUCCGGAGCGGGAGGCAGGUGGAUGGCCUCCUCCGUUACGGAGGGGAAAAUCAAGAAGCUGAGGAAAGCCGGAUACUUGUCCAACGAUAUCGCGCACCGGCUCCCAGAUGAGGGGAAGCUCAUCCCCACCCCCAGGCCCCAUGAGAGGGUGGUGUUUCUCCCCCAUUUCCUCUGCAGACUGGGCUUCCCUCUUCACCCAUUUGUCCGGGGGCUCAUGUUCUAUUACGGCCUGGAUUUCCACGAUCUGGCCUCGAAUUUCAUCCUCAACAUCUCGACGUUUAUCGUCGUGUGCGGGGUCUUCCUCCACAUCCAUCCCCACUUCGGCUCAUGGCUGAAGACCUUCAAUGUCAAGCCGAAGGUUGUGGGCGGCCGGCAAGCGGAGUGCGGAGGCGCCAUGCUGGGCAAGAUGACCAAUGUCACCUGGCUCGAGGGCUCCUUCGUGGAAACCAUCAAAGGGUGGCAAUCGGAGUGGUUCUACAUCACCGAGCCGUGUGACCCUGAAUGGGCAGCGGCCCCCGAAUUCCAAUCCGGCAUCCCCACACGGCUCACAUCCUGGAAAGAGACGGGCAUGUCGUGGGGUAAUCCGGAAGAGGUGACCGGACUCCAAACCUGCGUCCAAAACUUGGUGGACAAGAAGGUUAAGCUUGUCAACGCAGUCGAGGUCAUGCUCUUCCACCGGAUCCUCCCGUGUCAACGACGGGCUUUCAACUUGUGGAGUUUGACCCGGCCCAGCACCAGACUUUGUCCAGGCUCUUCGACACGAUGCACGAAGAUGCCUGGAAGGUGCUAUUCAAGAGCUCAGAGGUUCCCCCACCUAUUACCGAGGAUCGUGGAUUUGGCGCAAAGCGCCAAGCCAGCGCGGUAAGCUCGUUUUACCCUUUACGGGAUACUUGUUUUCCAUUGUUUGAUUCUAUGUGGGAUCUAAGCUCCCGCUCCUUUGACAGGACUGGAAGGAGACGUCCGGAUGGUUUAACUGUCCGGCUCCUUUGCCCGAAGGCCUAGCUGAUGCAUGCUUAACGAAGUUGCUGGCCCCGGCACCUCACGUGGUGCCUGAGAAGAAGGCCAAGAAGAAGGCCACGGGAACUCGAAAGAGCUCCCGGCGCCUGGUGGUGUCGGACUCAUCGCCUGACGACCCCAAAGCGCACUCCUCCUCCGAAGACGAGGAGGAGGAACAAGAAGCCUCUCCCCCUCCAGCGGGGGGAGGAAAGAAAAUAAAGGCCGCCCCAAUUGGGGAGGCCGGAGGGUCCAAGAAGGGGAAGACCCUUCUUCCGGACUACGCCUCCGACGCCGAUGACGGCGGAGAGGAGUGGCCAUCCAGGGUCAAGCCCCUGUCCAAAUCAUAAGUAUCCGGAUACCAGAAUAACUCAAGGCGUUCCUCUAUUGUACAGUACCUUCUGACGCCGAAUUCAAUCAUGCAGUCCGCCCAAGGCUCAGCUCGGCGAUUCGUCGAGCGGCUCCCUGGAUUCGUCGGAUGUGAAUAGCACUUCACUCCCGACUGCUACCUCCCCUCGCCCUACGGACGAUGCCGAGGUGGAGUCCCAAAAGGGGCUAAACCAGGAGGAGGUGGUCCUGGAGGCGCCGCAAGGCGACCUCUCGGACUCCAGGCCCAAAGGGGAUGAAGCCCCAGAGGGAUCUAAGUCCGGCCCUGGGACGGACACCGCUCCGAAACCUUCAGAGAUUCCGGAGUCCGGCAGGCGGCCCCCUCGCAAGAAGGGCAAGCCUACGGUGCCGGCAGCCUCCGUCCAACCGGAGGCGCCGGACAAUUCGACGAGGAGCACCGCACUGUUAUGAGUGCGGUGAUCCAGAAGGUUCAGUCCGCCAAGAGUGGGCUGACAGAAGCCUGUACCACCCUUCUAACAGGCUUUGAGGUAUGUAUUUAAAACAUAUAAAAAUGUUACCGCAUAGACAGUAGCCCCUGAUGCUCAGUUUGGUGUUCGGAAAGAAAAACCGGACUGAGGAUCUAAAAAUAUAUACGCAGGAGUCUAACAUAAAUAUGUCAAUAUGGGAAUGCAGGCUGCGCUGCUGACCUUUGCCGCACUGACUGUGGAGGUAGAUGCAUUGAAGCAGAGCCUCGAGCAGUCCGAGAACGAGCUCGGCCGUGCCAAGAAGCAGCUCGAGGACAAGGAAGGUAGGUAGUACCUUGUGUAAGUAUAUAAAAAUACCUGGUUGCAAAUAACGACAGGACCAACGUGAAUGUUGCAGGGGCCACAACCGAGGGGGCGGCCUUGAAGGAAGUGCUGUCCAAGGCCAAAGACAAUGCGGCCGUGGAGCGCACUGAGCGAGAAAAGCAAGAGGCGCGGGUGGCGGAGGCGCGGCAAGAGCUUGAUGCUCUCGUGAAGAAACAUGAGAGUUUAGAGCUUGACUCAAAGGCACGAGAGUCCGAGCUUGCCUCGGCACUUGAAAGCGCCAAGUCUGCCAAGGCCGAAGCCCAAAAGGCCCUUCAGGAAAUUGAGGCGAUGAAAAAGAUAGUGGCGGGUAAGGCAUUCUUUAUGCAAAGCAAGCACGUGAAAGUAAAUUACCUGUUACUUACCCGAGUCCGGAGCUCUCUAGGAGCAUUCGCAGAUCUGCCCUGUAGUGUGUCCGAUGCCACCGCAUUCUACCAAGCUGAAGAAGGGAGCUCGACGGAGAAGGUGUUCUGGUCCCAGUAUGUUGAGGCCGGACACCCGGUGCCCCUAAGCGACCAGCUGAAGCAGCUGGUCGAGCUCCAUAAGGCAGCCGAACAGGCCAUGAAGGGCCUUAUAGGCCGGCUGUGGCCUGGGGAGGCCAUGCCUGGGAGCUACUUUGGGCUGGUGCGGCAGCUGGUGGAUGCCUGUCCAUGGCUUGAAGUCAUCAAGCGCUCUGUAUGCAUCGAAGGCGCCCGUAGGGCCCUUGCCCGUGCCAAAGUGCACUGGGGCAAGCUGGAUGCUGAGAAGCUGGUGAAGGAUGGGCCACCGAAGGGGAAGGAGUAUCGCAGGCCCGAGAUGUACUAUGAGGGCAUCCUGAAGGGUGCCCGCCUUGUGGCGAACGAAUGUUCCAAGGAUUUAAUUUUUGAGUAAACUCGCUUAUGUUUGUCCUAUGCGCUGAAAACUUGUUCAUAUGCGCUAAGCAACACUUUUUUGAAUUUAAAAUAUUACCUUCUGUGCGUCCGUUUAUUAAAUCUGAGAGAUGCAAGUCGUCGGCUUCUGCCCCCAUGCCACGAGUGCUGGGGUGUUCGGGAUAAACUUGAGCGCUCUUGUUCCCAUUCUUGGGUCCUUUGAGGGAGGCGCUUAGCACAACGAACAAGGCAAUCAGACUUAUAAUGUUUUAUCACUCUCACUUAGCCAUAGAAUUCUAUAAUUUUAAAUUUCGGCGAAGCCCCUAGUAUUCGGAAGACCGAGUUCGGGGCGCUAUCCACGCCUAGGCCGGAUAAAUCCAGCUCCUCGCUCUAAGCGGCAUAAGUCUUUAGGGACUCGAAAAACCUCUCGAACAGUGACCGGUCUCUCGCCCUAUCAUGAUGGUCAGUUUUAGCUUUCUCUACUGAGGUGUUAACCCAGCUCAACUGGGGCACAAUCGCAGUAGUUCUCCCAGCGCUACCUUAGCCGAUAUAACGGAACAUAAGGUACCAAAACAUGGGAGCCGGGCAAGCCCAACUAUUGACCCAAGACAUGAUUCAGAGCCGAUGCAUAUAAUGCUAUAAGUUCGGGGUGCCGCACUCAUGAGAGUGUUCGGUCAUCUCACACCGUAUUAUGGGGUGCUUAAGCCCCUGGUGUAUUGGCCGUACCAAAGUGUACGGUUGCAUGAUGUCAUGAUUGAACAUAUUUACAUGAAAAAUGAAUGCAAUAAUAGACAAGAGCUAUGUAUUGUUUAUUAAAGGGAUGUUAUGAAAGCAGAACGAUACAAAUAGUGCGAUAAGCAAGAGAUGGGAGUAUUUGACAUGUCCCCCUCCAGGGGCAAGCUGCGGGACUUUAAGUAAGAUAGGUAUUUAGCUCGUUAUAGAGACCACCUGGACGUUCGACGUGGCUUGCUGUCUCCCUGGCUGUUGCAUUGUGUGUUCGGCGAUUGUAUUGCCGGACAGGUCUUCCGAAUAGUGGAGUCCUGAAAGUAAAAAAAAUCACAAAAAUCAGGAGCCCCUAGUGCGGUUGAGACGCAUUCUGGGCGUGCCGUGGUUGUGCCCCUCCCCUUAUGCCCAUGGUAUUUCCAGAGCGUAAUAAUGUACGCGUGGUACUGGUAUCGCAAUCUCGCGAGGGCUGGGGUUGGGGCCGCACUGCUAUGCUUGCUCGGAACGUGCCAGACGGUUUUGUUGUAGGUUACUUCGGGCGCGCUUGACAUUGUCCGGACGUUUAACAGCCGGACUGGAGAAUUGCCUUGAGAAGCUACUUUGUACUUCCGCCGCUAGGGCCACCAUGUGCUCCUCUGUUCAGAGAGAGCGGUCGGUGUUUCCAUUGACCGUAAUGACUCCGCGAGGGCCUGGCAUCUUGAGCUUGAGAUAUGCGUAGUGCGGCACCACAUUGAAUUUUGCAAAUGCGGUUCGUCUGAGCAGGGCAUGAUAGCCACUGCGGAAUGGGACUAUGUUGAAGAUUAACUCCUCGCUUCGGAAAUUAUCCGGGGAUCCGAAGACCACUUCAAGCAUAACUGAGCCUGUACCGCUGGCUUCUACACCUAGUAUGACGCCUUUAAAGGUCGUCUUUGUGGGUUUAAUCCUUGAGGGAUCUAUACCCAUUUUUCGCAUUGUAUCCUGAUAAAGCAGGUUCAGGCUGCUACCGCCGUCCAUGAGGUCUCUAGUGAGGUGAAAUCCAUCAAUUAUUGGGUCUAGAACCAAUGCGGCGAAUCCGCCGUGACGAAUGCUAGUGGGGUGGUCCCUUUGAUCAAAAGUGAUCGGGCAGGAGGACCAUGGGUUGAACUUUGGGGCGACUGGCUCCAACGCAUAGACGUCCUUGAGCGCACGCUUCCAUUCCCUUUUGGGGAUAUGGGUUGCGUAUAUCAUGUUUACUGUCCUCACUUGUGGGGGAAAGCCCUUCUGUCCUUUGUUGUUCGACGGCCGGGGCUCCUCCUCGUCAUCGCUUUGCAGCCCCUUGUCUCUGUAUUCAGCACUUAACUUGCCUGCCUACUUGAACACCCAACAAUCCCUGUUGGUGUGAUUGGCUGGUUGUUCGGGGGUGCCAUGUAUCUGGCACGAGCGGUCGAGUGUCUGGUCUAAACUGGACGGGCCUGGAGUGUUCUUUUGAAUGGCUUUUUCCGCUGACCGGGUUUAGAGCCUCUGAAUCCGGCAUUAACUGCCGUAUCCUCAGUAUUGUCGCCGUUAAUGCGGCGCUUGUGCUUGUUACGACGCAACCUGCCAUUGUUGUCCUUGGUAUCCGAAUUACCAGGGCUCUUGGUCAUGUUAUUGCUACGAGCUAGCCAGCUAUCUUCUCCCGUGCAAAAGCGGGUCAUGAGUGUUGUGAGGGCUGCCAUAGAUUUCGGCUUUUCCUGUCCUAGGUGCCGGGCAAGCCAUUGCUACGUCUCGAGCUUGCGUUGGAUUUCCCCGAAGAGGAGAGGAUAAUGCAGCACAGUAGCGUAAGUAUUUCCCUCAGUUUUUGAGAACCAAGGUAUCAAUCUAGUAGGAGACCACGCGCAAGUCCCUCGCACCUGCACAAAACGAUAGCUACUCACAACCAACGCUUAGGGGUUGUCAAUCCCUUCACGGUCACUUACGAGGGUGAGAUCUGAUAGAGAUAAUAUUUUUGGUAUUUUUGGUAUAAAGAUACAAAGUAAAAAGUAAAAGCAAAAGCAAGUAAAUAAAGUGAUGGAGAUUGAUAUGAUGAGAAUAGACCCGGGGGCCAUAGGUUUCACUAGUGGCUUCUCUCAAGAGCAUAAGUACUCUACGAUGGGUGAACAAAUUACUGUUGAGCAAUUGACAGAAUCGAGCAUUAUGAGGUUAUCCAGGCAAUGAUCAUGUAUAUAGGCAUCACGUCCCUGGCAAGUAGACCGAAACGGUUCUGCAUCUACUACUAUUACUCCACUCAUCGACCGCUAUCCAGCAUGCAUCUAGAGUAUUAAGUUAAAAGGAGAGUAACGCCUUAAGCAAGAUGACAUGAUGUAGAGGAAUAAAUUCAUGCAAUAUGAUAAAUACCCCAUCUUGUUAUCCUCGAUGGCAACAAUACAAUACGUGCCUUGCAACCCUUUCUGUCACUGGGUAAGGUCACCGCAAGAUUGAACCCAAAGCUAAACACUUCUCCCAUUGCAAGAACUACCAAUCUAGUUGGCCAAACCAAACGGAUAAUUCGAAGAGACUUGCAAAGAUAACUCAAUCAUACAUAAAAGAAUUCAGAGAAGAAUCAAAUAUUUUCCAUAGAUAAGCUGGAUCAUAAACCCACAAUUCAUCGGUCUCAACAAACACACCGCAAAAAAGAAGAUUACAUCGAAUAGAUCUCCACGAGAGAGGGGGAGAACAUUGUAUUGAGAUCCAAAAAGAGAGAAGAAGCCAUCUAGCUACUAACUAUGGACCCGAAGGUCUGAAGUAAACUACUCACACUUCAUCGAAGGGGCUAUGGUGAUGAUGUAGAAGCCCUCCGUGGUAGAUGCCCCCUCCGGCGGAGCUCCGGAACAGGCCCCAAGAUGGGAUCUCGCGGAUACAGAAAGUUGCGGUGGUGGAAUUAGGUUUUUGGCUCUGUCCCGAUCUGUUGGGGGUACGUAGGUAUAUAUAGGAGGAAGGAGUACGUCGGUGGAGCGUCAGGGGGGCCACGAGGCAGGGGCGCGCCCAGGGGGGAGGGCGCGCCCCCCACCCUCGUGACCGCCUCUGGCACUUCUUGGAGUAGGGUCCAAGUCUCCUGGAUCACGUUCGGUGAGAAGAUCACGUUUCCGAAGGUUUCAUUCCGUUUGGACUCCGUUUGAUAUUCCGUUUCUUCGAAACACUGAAAUAGGCAAAAAAACAGCAAUUCUGGGCUGGGCCUCCGGUUAAUAGGUUAGUCCCAAAAAUAAUAUAGAAGUGGAAAAUAAAGCCCAUUAUAGUCCAAAACAAUAGAUAAAGUAGCAUGGAGCAAUCAAAAAUUAUAGAUACGUUGGAGACGUAUCAGGCAUCCCCAAGCUUAAUUCCUGCUCGUCCUCGAGUAGGUAAAUGAUAAAAAGAGAAUUUUUGAUGCGGAGUGAUACUUUGACAUAAUUUCAAUGUAAAUCUUCUUAAUUGUGAUAUGAAUAUUCAGAUCCGAAAGAUUCAAGACAAAAGUUCAUAUUGACAUAAAAAUAAUAAUACUUCAAGCACACUAAUCAAAAUAAUUAUGUCAUCUCAAAAUAACAUGGCCAAAGAAAGUUCAUCCCUACAAAAUCAUAUAGUUAGGCUAUGCUUCAUUUUCGUCACACAAAGAUGUUCCCAACUUCUAUACCCCCGAUGACAAGCCAAGCAAUUGUUUCAUACUUAAAUAAUCUCAAACUUUUUCAACCUUCACGCAAUACAUGAGCGUGAGCCAUGGAUAUAGCACUAUGGGUGGAAUAGAAUAUGAUGAUGGGGAUUGUGUGGAGAAAUCAAAAAAAGAGAAAGUCUCACAUUGACGAGGAUAAUCAACGGGCUAUGGAGAUGCCCAUCAAUUGAUGUCAACAUGAGGAGUAGGGAUUGCCAUGCAACGGAUGCACUAGAGCUAUGAAUGCUCAACAAAAGAAAACUAGUGGGUGUGCAUCCAACUUGCUUGCUCAUGAAGACCUAGGGCAUUUGAGGAAGCCCAUCGUAGGAAUAUACAAGCCAAGUUCUAUAAUGAAAAAUUCCCACUAGUAUGAAAAAGACAACUUAUGAGACUCACUAUAUGAAAAACAUGGUGCUACUUUGAAGCACAAUAUAUGAGACUCACUACAUGAAGAACGAGGUGCUACUUUGAAGCACAAAAUAUGAGACUCACUACAUGAAGAACAUGGUGCUACUUUGAAGCACAAGUGUGGAAAAAGAGAUAGUAGCAUUGCCCUUUUUUUGGGCCUUUCCCUUUUUUUGGGCAAUGCUCUAAUAAUGAUGAUCAUUACACUUCUAUUGAUUACAACAUGAGGAUUACAACUCGAAACUAGAACAAGGUAUGACUCUAUAUGAAUGCCUCCGGCGGUGUACUGGGAUGGUGCAAUGAAUCAAGAGUGACAUGUAUGAAAAAUAAUGCAUAGUGCCUUUGCCACAAAUACGAUGUCAACUACAUGAUCAUGCAAUGGCAAUAUGACAAAAGUAAUGUAUGUCAUAAUAAUGAUGAACGGAACGGUGGAAAGUUGCAUGGCAAUAUAUCUCGGAAUGGCUAUGGAAAUGCCAUAAUAGGUAGGUAUGGUGGCUGUUUUGAGGAAGAUACAGGGAGGUUUAUGUGUGAUAAAGCGUAUCGUAUCACGGAGUUUGGAUGCACCGGCGAAGUUUGCGCCAACUCUCAAUGUGAGAAAGGGCAAUGCACGGUACCGAAGAGGCUAGCAAUGGCAGAAAGGUAAAAGUGUGUAUAAUCCAUGGACUCAACAUUAGUCAAAAGAACUCAUAUACUUCUUGCAAAAAUUUAGAAGUCAUAAAAAAUUCAAGUACUAUGCGCAUGCUCCUAGGGAGAUAGAUUGGUAGGAAAAGACCAUCGCUCGUCCCCGACCGCCACUCAUAAGGAUGCACAAGCCAGGUACACUUCAUGCUUCAAAUUUGUUACACAACUUUAACCAUACGUGCAUGCUACGGGAUUUACCAACUUCAACACAAGCAUUUCUCAAAUUCACAACUACUCAACUAGCAUGACUUUGAUAUUAUUACCUCCAUAUCUCAAAACAAUUAUCAAGCAUCAAACUUAUCUUAGUAUUCAACGCACUCAAAAGAAAGUUUCACAUAUCUUGAACACCAAGUAUAUUAACAUUAAGCAAAUUACCAUGCUAUUAACGACUCUCAAAAUAAUCUAAGUGAAGCAUGAGAGAUCAAGUUUCUUUAAAACAAAUCCACCACCGUGCUCUAAAAGAUCUAAGUGAAGCACUAGAGCAAAAAUUAUCACGCUCAAAAAGAUAUAAGUGAAGCACUAUGAGCAAACUAUCAAGCUCAAAAGAUAUAAGUGAAGCACAUAGAGUAUUCUAUCAAAUUUAAAAUCAUGUAUGGCUCUCUCAAAAGGUGUGUACAGCAAGGAUGAUUGUGGUAAACUAACAAGCAAAGACUCAAAUAAUACAAGACGCUCCAAGCAAAACACAUAUCAUGUUGGUGAAUAAAAAUAUAUCUCCAAGUAAAUUACCGAUGGAAGUGGACGAAAGAGGGGAUGCCUUCCAGGGCAUCCCCAAGAUUUGACUUUUUGGUGUCCUUGUAUUAUCUUGGGGGUGCCAUGGGCAUCCCCAAGCUUAGGCUCUUGCCACUCCUUGUUCCAUAAUCCAUCAAAAGAAUUCAACCAAAACUUGAAAACUUCACAACACAAAACUCAAUAGAAAUCUCGUGAGCUCCGUUAGAGAAAGAAAACAAAAAACUACUUUAAGUUACUGUAAUGAACUCAUUAUUUAUUCAUAUUGGUGUUAAACCUACUGUAUUCUAACUUUUCUAUGGAUUGUAAACUAUUUUACUAACCAUAGAUUCAUCAAAAUAAGCAAACAACACACGCAGAACAGAAUCUGUCAAAAACAGAACAGUCUGUAGUAAUCUGUAACUAACGCAAACUUUGAAACCCAAAAAAUUAUACCAAAAUUAGACGACCUGGACAAUUUGUUUAUUGAACAUCAUCAAUUGGAAUCAGUAAUUUAUCAUGUUCUGGUGAUUUUUAACAAUUCGGGCACUGAGCACAAAGAUUCUGGAAAUUACAGCAAGAUCAAAUAACUAUCAUCCAAGAAGAUCCAAUAGGUCCAACUUGGCACAAACACUAAUUAAAAGAUAAAUCCACAUCUAAACAGAGGAUAGAAACAAAAUUUAACACUAAACUGGAACAAAAACAAAGAACACAAAAUAAAAUUGGGUUGCCUCCCAACAAGCGCUAUCGUUUAACGCCCCUAGCUAGGCAUUGAGAUUUCAAUGAUGCUCACAUAAAGGACAAGAAUUGAAGCAUAAAGAGAGCAUCAUGAAACACAUUACAAACACAUCUAAGUCUAACAUACUUCCUAUGCAUAGGCAUAUUAUAAUCAAACAAAUUUGCAAGGCAAGCAAAAACUAGCAUAUGCAAGGAAGAAUAAAGAGAUGAUAGCAAUCUCAAAACGACGAGAGGUAAUUUAGUAACAUGAAAAUUUCUACAACCACAUUUUCCUCUCUCAUAAUAAUUACAUGUGGUAUCAUAAGAAAAUUCAACAAAGUAGCUAUCACAUAAAAUAUUUUCAACACGAUCCACAUGCAUGCAAAGUUGACACUCUUCCAAGAUAGUGGGAUUAACAUUAACUAAAGUCAUGACCUCUCCAAACCCACUUUUAUAAAAAAAAUAUCAUAAGAUUGAACAUACUCCAAAUAUGUGGGGUCUAAAGUUGACACUCUUCCAAACCCACUUUCAAUAUUAUUGCAAACACUAUUAUCAAUCUCAUGUUCAUCAUGGGGCUUAAAUAAAUUUUCAAGAUUAUAAGAAGAAUCAUCCCAAUCAUGAUCAUUGCAACAAGUAGUAGACAUAGCAAAACUAGCAUCCCCAAGCUUAGGGUUUUGCAUAUUAUUAGCACAAUUGACAUCAAGAGAAUUUAUAGUAAAAUCAUUGCAAUCAUGCUUUUUAUUCAAAGAUCUAUCGUGAAUUGCUUCAUAAAGUACUUCAUCACAAUUUUUAGAUUCAUGAAUUUCAAGCAAAACCUCAUAAAGAUAAUCUAGUGCACUCAACUCACUAGCAAUAGGUUCAACAUAAAUGGAUCUAUUAAAGAGAUUAGCAAGUGGAUGAGGAUCCAUAAAUUUUUAGCAAGCGAAGAUGCAAGCAAAAAGAAGGCACAUGGAGACACAAGCAAAAAAAAAGGCAAGCGAAAGAUAGAGGAGAUUGGGAAAGAGAGAGCGAAUAAAACGACAAAGGUGAAGUGGGGGAGAGGAUAACAAGAGGCAAAUGGCAAAUAAUGUAAUGCGGGAGAUAGGGAUUGUGAUGGGUACUUGGUAUGUUGACUUUUGCGUAAGCCUCCCCGGCAACGGUGCCAGAAAUUCUUCUUGCUACGUCUCAAGCUUGCGUUGGAUUUUCCCCGAAGAGGAGAGGAUGAUGCAGCACAGUAGGUAAGUAUUUCCCUCAGUUUCUGAGAACCAAGGUAUCAAUCCAGUAGGAGACCACGCGCAAGUCCCUCACACCUGCACAAAACGAUAGCUACUCGCAACCAACCCUUAGGGGUUGUCAAUCCCUUCACGAUCACUUACGAGGGUGAGAUCUGAUAGAGAUAAUAUUUUUGGUAUUUUUGGUAUAAAGAUGCAAAGUAAAAAGUAAAAGCAAAAGCAAGUAAAUAAAGUGAUGGAGAUUGAUAUGAUGAGAAUAGACCCGGGGGGCAUAGGUUUCACUAGUGGCUUCUCUCAAGAGCAUAAGUAUUCUACGGUGGGUGAACAAAUUACUGUUGAGCAAUUGACAGAAUUGAGCAUAGUUAUGAGGUUAUCCAGGCAAUGAUCAUGUAUAUAGGCAUCACGUCCGUGACAAGUAGACCGAAACGAUUCUGCAUCUACUACUAUUACUCCACUCAUCGACUGCUAUCCAACAUGCAUCUAGAGUAUUAAGUUAAAAGGAGAGUAACGCCUUAAGCAAGAUGACAUGAUGUAGAGGAAUAAAUUCAUGCAAUAUGAUAAAUACCCCAUCUUGUUAUCCUCGAUGGAAACAAUACAAUACGUGCCUUGCAACCCUUUCUGUCACUGGGUAAGGUCACCGCAAGAUUGAACCCAAAGCUAAACACUUCUCCCAUUGCAAGAACUACCAAUCUAGUUGGCCAAACCAAACGGAUAAUUCGAAGAGACUUGCAAAGAUAACUCAAUCAUACAUAAAAGAAUUCAGAGAAGAAUCAAAUAUUUUCCAUAGAUAAGCUGGAUCAUAAACCCACAAUUCAUCCAUCUCAACAAACACACCGCAAAAAGAAGAUUACAUCGAAUAGAUCUCCACGAGAGAGGGGGAGAACAUUGUAUUGAGAUCCAAAAAGAGAGAAGAAGCCAUCUAGCUACUAACUAUGGACCCGAAGGUCUGAAGUAAACUACUCACACUUCAUCGAAGGGGCUAUGGUGAUGAUGUAGAAGCCCUCCGUGGUAGAUGCCCCCUCCGGCGGAGCUCCGGAACAGGCCCCAAGAUGGGAUAUCGCGAAUACAGAAAGUUGCGGCGGUGGAAUUAGGUUUUUGGCUCUGUCCUCGAUCUGUUGGGGGUACGUAGGUAUAUAUAGGAGGAAGGAGUACGUCGGUGGAGCGUCAGGGGGCCCACGAGGCAGGGGCGCGCCCAGGGGGGGAGGGCGCGCCCCCACCCUCAUGACCGCCUCUGGCACUUCUUGGAGUAGGGUCCAAGUCUCCUGGAUCACGUUCGGUGAGAAGAUCAUGUUUCCGAAGGUUUCAUUCCGUUUGGACUCCGUUUGAUAUUCCGUUUCUUUGAAACACUGAAAUAGGCAAAAAACAGCAAUUCUGGGCUGGGCCUCCGGUUAAUAGGUUAGUCCCAAAAAUAAUAUAAAAAUGGAAAAUAAAGCCCAUUAUAGUCCAAAACAAUAGAUAAAUUACCAUGGAGCAAUCAAAAAUUAUAGAUAUGUUCGAGACGUAUUAGCCAUUCGUCUCGGAUGUUAUGUUUGAAGGCUGCAAGGGCCUCUGCGUCCGGCCAGUCGACUAUUUGAUUUUUCUUGGUUAGGAACCGCGUCCAGAAUUGUCUGGCCGAUUCGUCUGGCUGCUGAAUUAUGUGGCUUAGGUCAUCGGCGUCUGGUGGUCGCACAUAAGUGCCCUGGAAGUUGUCAAGGAAUGCAGAUUCUAGGUCCUCCCAGCAACCAAUUGACUCUGCUGGCAAGCUGUUAAGCCAAUGCUGAGCUGGUCCUUUAAGCUUGAGCGGGAGGUAUUUAAUAGUGUGUAGAUCAUCACCACGGGCCAUGUGGAUAUGAAGGAGAUAAUCCUCGAUCCAUACCGCAGGAUUUGUUGUGCCAUCGUAUGAUUCGAUGUUUACGGGUUUAAAACCCUCGGGGAUUUGAUGAUCCAUUACUUUAUCUGUGAAGCAUAGUGGGUGUGCGGCGCUCUGUACUGGGCUAUAUCACGACGUAGCUCGGAUGAGCUUUGUCUGUUGUGUUCGUCCUGGCCGUAUUUACCAUAUCCGGCAUGACGGUUAUCGUCACGUGUCGUGGGGCGCCCACGUGAUCCGUAGAUCGAUCUUGUUUGCCUUGCCUUGUCCUCCAAUAUGUCUCGCAGGUCUGACGCAUUUCCCCGUGCCUUGGUACUUUUUGAGCGGCGCCGGGGUGCGGCUUGAGUUGAGGGCCGAAAGGCCUCUCUGUCGCGGCCACGGGGUGGCCGAUCGGCCGCAUCAUACGCUGGUGAUGUAGGUUUAGUUGCUUCCUCCUCUAGUUGGGGUAGCAGCCUGCGCUUUGGGUAGCUCUUGGAGGGGCGUUCGAGUUUGUACUCUUCGGCCGCCGGGACUUCAGUCCAUCUGUCGGCUAGCAAAUCUUGGUCAGCUCUAAGCUGCUGCUGUUUUUUCUUGAGGCUGCUUGCCGUGGCCAUAAGCCUGCGUUUGAAACGCUCUUGUUCGACGGGAUCCUCUGGCACGACAAAUUCGUCGUCGUCGAGGCUUGCCUCGUCUUCGGAGGGAGGCAUAUAAUUGUCGUCCUCGACCUCUCUAUCUGCCGCUCUCUUAUGAGGGCUGGCUUCUCUAUCCUCCUGCGCUGAAUCCUGCUGGAGGGGGUGGUCUUCGGCACUGUACGGGGUGUUAUUGUCUCCGGUGCCGGAAUCGCCGUUUUUGCUAAGGUUGUUUCUUGGAGGGGUCAUCCUCCGUUGUUCCAUCGCCAUUCCCUUCCUUUGGGGUGUCCACCAUGUAUAUGUCAUAUGACGAGGUGGCUUUCCAGUCCCCUAUAGGCGCUGGUUCUUGGUCGUCUCCUUCAUCGGCGUCCAUACCGUCGAUGUCUUCGGAGUCGAAGUCGAGCAUGUUGGUUAAAUCAUCGAUAGUGGCUACGAAGUGGGUGGUGGGUGGGUUUCGAAUUUCCUCGUCGUCCGCAUCCCAACCUUGCUGACCAUAGUCCGGCCAGGGCUCUCCUGAUAAAGAGAGAGACUUUAGUGAAUUCAGGAUGUCGCCAAAGGGCGAGUGCUGAAAUAUGUUCGCGGCAGUGAACUCCAUGAUCGGAGCCCAAUUGGGUUCGAUCGGAAGGGGUGCGGAAGAUUCGGAGUUCGGAAAGGAGUCUGGCACCUUGGAGUCACAAGCUUCACAAAGGACAAGGCUGGUAUUCGGCUCGAUCGCCAUAGAGAUUGCAGCCCCCGAGGCGGCGUCCAACCAUCCGUCCCCGAUUGGCAUGGUCGGCUCCGAGCUAAGGGUCGGAGCGGACACCUGAGCGGCACUCUGGGCAUUGUACGGCGACAGAGCUAGAUCAUGCCCAUCAUGAAAGUGCGGCGCGCUCGGCUGUGGCUCGAAUCCGUCGAAGAUUAAGUCCCCGCGGAUGUCAGCCAUGUAGUUCAAAUUUCCAAAUCUGACCUGAUGGCCAGGGGUGUAGCUUUUGAUCUGCUCCAGUUGGCCAAGCGAAUUGGCCCGCAGUGCAAAGCCGUCGAACACGAAGAUCUGUCCGGGGAGAAAAGUCUCACCCUGGACCGCGUCGUGGUUGAUGAUCGAAGAAGCCAUUGGGCCUAAAGGUGACGACACAGAGGAACUCUCAAUGAAAGCACCAAUGUUGGUGUCAAAACCGGCGGAUCUCGGGUAGGGGGUCCCGAACUGUGCGUCUAGGCGGAUGGUAACAGGAGACAAGGGACACGAUGUUUUUACCCAGGUUCGGGCCCUCUCGAUGGAGGUAAAACCCUACUCCUGCUUGAUUAAUAUUGAUGAUAUGGGUAGUACAAGAGUUGAUCUACCACGAGAUCAGAGUGGCUAAACCCUAGAAGCUAGCCUAUGGCAUGAUUGUUGUUCGUCCUACGGAAUAAAACUCUCCGGUUUAUAUAGACACCGGAGAGAGCUAGGGUUACACAGAGUCGGUUACAAUGGGAGGAGAUCCACAUAUCGUAUCGCCAAGCUUGCCUUCCACGCCAAGGAAAGUCCUAUCUGGACACGGGACGAAGUCUUCAAUCUUGUAUCUUCAUAGUCCAGGAGUCCGGCCAAAGGUCAUAGUCCGGCCAUCCAGACACCCCCUAAUCCAGGACUCCCUCAGUGUUAUUCUAGUACGAACUCUUUUAUAGAUCGAUCCGAAAGAAUAACUUUGAGGUGGUUUCGUACCCUACCAUAAUCUCUACGUUUGUUCUCCGCUAUUAGUGGCUUUGGAGUGACUCUUUUUUGCAUGUUGAGGGCUUGUUAUAUGAUCUAUCUAUGUUAUUAUUGUUGAGAGAACUUGCACUAGUGAAAGUAUGAACCCUAGGCCUUGUUUCCUAUCAUUGCAAUACCGUUUACGCUCACUUUUAUCAUUAGUUACCUUGCUGUUUUUAUUAUUUCAGAUUACAAAAACCUAUAUCUACUAUCUAUUUUGCACCUGUAUCACCAUAUCUUCGCCGAACUAGUGCACCUAUACAAUUUACCAUUGUAUUGGGUGUGUUGAGGACACAACAGACUCUUUGUUAUUUGGUUGCAGGGUUGUUUGAGAGAGACCAUCUUCAUCCUAUGCCUCCUACGGAUUGAUAAACCUUAGGUCAUCCACUUGAGGGAAAUUUGCUACUGUCCUACAAACCUGUGCACUUGCAAGCCCAACAACGUCUACAAGAAGAAGGUUGUGUAGUAGACAUCAGUAAUGCACAUCACUAUAAGCCUUGCAAGCAUUGCAACUAAUUAGUUAGUUACGGGAUGAUGUAUUACGAAACGAGUGAAGAGACUUGCCGGUAAUGAGAUUGAACUAGGUAUUGAGAUACCGACGAUCGAAUCUCGGGCAAGUAACAUAUCGAUGACAAAGGGAACAACGUAUGCUGUUAUGCGGUUUGACCGAUAAAGAUCUUCGUAGAAUAUGUAGGAGCCAAUAUGAGCAUCCAGGUUCCGCUAUUGGUUAUUGACCGGAAUCAUGUCUCGGUCAUGUCUACAUAGUUCUCGAACCCGUAGGGUCUGCACGCUUAAAGUUAGAUGACGAUUAUAUUAUUAGUUUAUGUGUUUUGAUGUACCGAAGAUAGUUUGGAGUCCCGGAUGUGAUCGCGGACAUGACGAGGAGUCUCGAAAUGGUCGCGACAUGAAGAUUGAUAUAUUGGACGACUAUAUUCGGACACCGUAAUGGUUCCAGGGGUUAUCGGAUAUAUAUACUGGAGUACCGGGGGGUUACCGGAACCCCCCGGGGGGUUAAUGGGCCUCAUGGGACCUAAGUAGAGAAGAGGAGGGGCGGCCAGGGCUGGCCGCGCCCCCUCCCCCUCUAGUCUGAAUAGGACAAGGAGAGGGGGGGGGGGGCGCCCCCCUUCCUUCCUCUCCUCUCUCCCUUCCUUCCCCUCUCCUAAUUGGACUAGGAAAGAAGGGAGUCCUACUCCCGGUGGGAGUAGGACUCCUCCCUGGCGCGCCUCCUCCUGGCCGGCCGCCCCCUCCCCUUUGAUCCUUUAUAUACUGGGGUAGGGGGGCACCUCUAGACACAACAAUUGAUCAUUGAUCUCUUAGCCGUGUGCGGUGCCCCCCUCCACCAUAAUCCACCUCGAUAAUAUCGUAGCGGUGCUUAGGCGAAGCCCUAUGUCGGUAGAACAUCAUCAUCAUCACCACACGGUCGUGCUGAUGGAACUCUCCCUCGACACUCGGCUGGAUCGGAGUUCAAGGGACGUCAUCGAGUUGUACGUGUGUAAGAACUCGGAGGUGCCGUGCUUUCGGUGCUUGAUCGGUCGGGCCGUGAAGACGUACGAGUACAUCAACCGCGUUGUGCUAAUGCUUCCGCUUUCGGUCUACGAGGGUACGUGGACACACUCUCCCCUCUCGUUGCUAUACCAUCACCAUGAUCUUGCGUGUGCGUAGGAUUUUUUUUGAAAUUACUACGUUACCCAACAGUAUGCUCGCAUGGUGGAGCACGACGCGUACGCCGAGUACUUGGAGAAGCUUCGGGAUCGUGUCAGCUUGUGAGAUGAGAUGUGGUAUCGAACUAUAUAUGUACGCUUGAGCAUGCUUAAUGACGGUUGAACUAUGGUUGUGUACGUGUAUGCUUAUUAUCUAUGUCUGAGUAUGUUUAAUCUAUAUUUACUUAUGUCUAACUGUGGGAUAUGGAUGCAAUCAGUUCGGUUAAUGGAAUCUACCUCCGUCCUCGUUUACUGGUCUCCUUUGUAAUUUGUGUUAAAUGUUGACCAAAGAUUUAGCUCGCAAAAUGUUAGUGCAGGUCAGCAAAAAUUAUAUCGUUGGAUGUGUAUUUGAACAUAGUGUUCAAUGAUAUAAUUUUUGGGGGCAUGCAUAAACAUUUCUUAGUGAAAUAUUUAGUCGAAAUUUGGUACAAAUUACAGAGGGGACCAAUAAACCAGGCCGGAGGUAGUACGUCAAUCACACACGGUUCCCAAAAUUGGAACCGUGUGCAAUGACUUUCAUUUUUCCUGUUGCUUCAAUCACACACGGUUCCUAAAAUUGGAACCGUGUGCAAUGGCUUUCGUUUUGCUUCUUGCGUCAAUCACACACGGUUGGCUCUAGCAAACUGUUGCCUCCGAAAUUCUUUGUGGGACAGAAAACCCUCACCAUCCAAUUCAAAAAAGAAAAAAGAAAACCCUCGCCAUCCCCACGUCACAAGAACCCUCACCCCCACCCGUCACUCCAUACCUCCGGUCCCCAUUCACACCUGCACAAGCUCCUCUGCGUCUAUGCAUGGCACCGCCUAUCGCGGCGGUAACCACUUAGCUCGACGCCUGCCGCCGCCGCUAGGCUGCCGGCAAACCCACCGCAUUUCGCCACUUCCGCUUGCUGCCACCUAACGCCAUCGACUUUCUCGACGCUGCUUGCGGUCGACCCAGCUCUGCUCGGUUGGGGAAUCUGCCGUACUGAGGUUUUUUUCUCAUGGACGACAAGUUAACUAAUUUAAUGAGAUAUUAUCUCAUCUCGCAUCCCAGUUCAUCUGCCUCCUUUAAUCACCCGACGGAAAUCACUGUGAAUUCAUUUUUAUUCGUGCUAAUUUGAGGGUUUUCUUUCAUUCAUAAAGUGCACAGUGCGCCGACACAUCAGGACCUUGCGACCUCCGCUAGAGAUUCCAUCUCACCAUACCAGAUGACUUGAGCAUGUGCGUGGUAUGUUCAAUCUCACCCUAAAUCGGUUGGCAUGGCCUACUUUCCUGAAGAUAUUCUAAAUAUUGCUACAUUUGGAUAAAGGUGCCACAUGCACCAUAUGUCUCUUGUGUCUCUUCAACCUUUCGAUCGCGCCCCACCAUUGCAAGAAGCACACCCACCACAACAAGUUCUUAGAGAGUAUCCUGCACGGCUCCAAUGACGCUCCGAGCGGCCGCCGAUGACGAGCAGCAGUUCACCAUCCAUGCUGUGGUGGACAUCCACCGAAGGUUCAAGGAUCUCUCGGUGGUGUACACCAACCACCCGGUCUGGGUGGAGCACUCCAUCCGCAUCAUGGAGUUGUUGCUUGCCGACAAGAAGUACAAGAUGGUCGGGUUCGACAUCGAGCACACCCGCGCUCGUGCCGGGUCUCGUCCCAAGGUCAUCGUUGCCCAGAUGUGUGUGGGCCACCACGUCCUCGUCUACCACUACUGCCUGGCCACACGGCCUUGCGAGCGUUUUGCCAGGUUUGUCAACAGCCCCCACUACAUGUUCGCUACGGUCGACAUCACCGACGAUGCCAAGGUGCUCAAGAAUUCGGGCAUCGCCUGCCAGAAUCUUGUCGACAUCCAGGGCCAAUACAAGAUCUGGGGCAGCAAGGAGAAUGAGAAGGACUCACCUAGUUCACCUCGCCGAGGCCAUCAUCGACCCCUACUACAGAGACAUGAAGGAUUCCUGCAACAACGACAAGCAUGCCUGGCACUCGUCCUGGAUGGAGAAACUCGACAAAGAUCACAUCGUGUGCGCGGCCAAGGAGGCGUACACGUGCUACGCCAUGUACAGGUGGAUCGUUGACAUGAGGAAGUGCCUCCUUCCCCAAAACGGCGAGGGAUCUAGCCGGAAGCAGAGCAAUUGCAAGCGUCGUCACAAAAAUAAGUAGAUGAUUAAUUAGAUCCUCGUUUCUCCUACUUUAGUAUGCAUGUAAUUGCUUACUUUGGUGUGUGAAAAUGUUAUCUGUAUAGUCACUUGUCUAAUUGUAUCCUUAAUUUGGUUAUGCAAUCCUGUCUUUUUAAGUAUAUUUGUUGUUUCUCUGUAGAUAGAGCAAAUCACAUCGCACAUGGACUAAACAAAGGAAUCCGUCGGUGAUGAUUUCAUCAAUCACUGACAAUUGUAUACCAGCAAUCGUUUGCUCACAACACACACGUCUUGUUAACAGGAAUCAUUUGUGUUGUUAUCAGUCUUCCCACAUAUUUCUGAUUAUAGACUUGUUUGCCGCGUAUCAUACACAUCUUAUUAUAUUGAACCGUUUUUGUUCUCUUGUCUCAACACAAACAGUUUAUCCGAGUGAACCGCAUGUUGUAUAUCGCACACACACCUUGAUCCGGCUUACCGUUUCUUUUGUGUUGCCUAAUCACAAACAGUUCAUCCGAGUGAACCAUAUGUUGUGUAUCGCACACGCCUUCAUUUGGUUGUCCGUUUCUUUUGUUCCUCCUCAUUGCAAAUAGUUAAUUGAACUGAACCGUAUGCCCUGCAUCACACACACAACUAAAAUCUGAUCCGUGUUUGAUGCAUCCGUCAUCGCAAACAUUUUGGACAUUUUUUACGGUUCUCUGACACCACCGUUUGCGAUUAUUGCAUCGCACACGGUUUCUCAAAGGGUCUCUGAUCGUAGUGUCGUGUUAGCAGCAUCCUGCAGUAGUGAUUGUAUCAGAAAAAUAAUGUGCCAAGAUUUGCCUUUAGGAUGAUUAGAUUGCUUGUUGGUAUGUGCGGUGUAAAAACAGAAACUUUCGGCUGUAGUGCGUGAUUUUACAUUUUUUACUGGGAUGUCAAAAGUUUCUAAUUUUUUUUACACAGUAUUGCUAUGCAAUUUUUUUAUUUUGUCCUAAUUUUUCAGAAUUUUUGGAGUACGAGAACUAUGGUUAAAGUUCAGAUUACUACAGACUGUCAUGUUUAAGACAUAUUCUGUUUUUGAUGCAUUAUUUUGAUUAUUUUGAUGAAACUAUCAAUAUUAUCGGUGGUAUGAGCCAUGGAGUUGGUUUGCAAUGGUACUUAAAGUAGUAAUUUGCUUUAUUAUGCUAACGAAUCUCACUAGUUUUCUGUUAAGUUUUGUGUGGAUGAAGUGUUCAAAGAUCGAGGAGGUCUUGAUACAAGGAGAAGGAGGAGAGGCAAGAUUUAAAGCUUGGGGAUGCCCAAGGAACCACAAGUAAACAUUGAAGGAGACUCAAGCGUCUAAGCUUGGGGAUGCCCCGGAAGGCAUCCCAUCUUUCUUCAACAAGUAUCGGUAUGUUUUCAUUUUCGUUUCGUUCAUGUAAUAUGUGUAAAUCUUGGAGUGUCUUUUGUGUUUAGUUUCCACUUUUCUUUUAUGCACCAUGCUAGUACGAGAUAGUCCAUGGUUGAUUUAUAGAAUACUCAUUGCACUUCACUUAUAUCUUUUGAGUAUGACUUUAUAGAAUGCUUCAUGUGCUUCACUUAUAUCAUUUGAAGUUUGGAUUGCCUGUUUCUCUUCACAUAGAAAACCGUUAUUUGAAGAAUGCUCUUUUGCUUCACUUAUAUUGUUAGAGCAUGGUAUUUUGUAGAAAGAAUUAAACUCGUAUGCUUCACUUAAAUCUAUUUAGAUAGUCAACAGGAAUUGGUCAUUUGCAUGAUUAGUCAUAAAAUCCUACAUAAAACUUGUGGAUUACUGAAUAUGAUAUGUUUGAUUCCUUGCAAUAGUUUUCCGAUAUAGAGAUGAUAAUAUGUGGGAGGUACUAGUAAACGGUUGUGGUUAGUAAGAAUAUUGGUGUUAAGGUUUGUGAUUCCCGAAGCAUGAACGUAUAGUCUCUCGUUAUGCUAUGAAGUUGGAGCAUGAUUUGUUAUUGAUUUUCUUCCUUAUGAGUGGCGGUCGCGGAUGAACGAUGGUAUUUUUCUACCAAUCUACCCUCCUAGGGGCAUGCUUAGUAGUACUUUGCUUCGAGGGCUAAUAAACUUUUGCAAUAAGUAUAUGAGUUCUUUAUGACUAAUGUGAGUCCAUGGAGUAUACACACUCCUACCUUUCCACAAUUUGCUAGCCUCUACAGUAUCAUGCAUUGCCCUUUCUCACCUCGAGAGUUGGUGCAAACUUCACCGGUGCAUCCAAACUCUGCGAUAUGAUACAUUCUAUCACACAUAAGCCUUAUUAUAUCUUCCUCAAAAUAGCCACCAUACCUACCUAUUAUGGCCUUUUCAUAGUCAUUUCGAGAUAUAUUGCCAUGCAACUUUCACCUCUUCCGUUUUGAUGACUUGAGCAUUCAUUGUCAUAUUGCUUUGCAUGAUCAUAUAGCUGACAUAGUAUUCGUGGCUCAGCCAUCGUUCAUCAUUUUGUAUACAUGUUACGCUGGAUCAUUGCACAUCCUGAUACAUUGCCAUAGGCAUUCAUAUAGAGUCAUACUUUGUUCUAGGUAUCGAGUUGUAAUUUUUAUUUUUUUUGAGUUGCAAGUAAAUAGAAGUGUGAUGAUCAUCAUUAUUCAUUAUUAGAGCAUGUCCCAAUGAGGAAUGGAUGAUGGAGAAUAUGAUUUCCCCACAAGUCGGGAUGAGACUCCGGACAAAAAGAGAGAAAAUUGAAAAAAAGACAAAGAGAGAAUGGGCAUGCUAAUCCCACACUUGUGCUUCAAAGUAGCACCAUAUUUUUCAUAUAGAUAGUCUCCUAUGUUGUCAGUUUCAUAUACUAGUAGAAAAUUUUCAUUAUAGAGUUAUAUGCACACCCACUUAGUUUUCAUAUUGAGCUUUCAUACACUAACAACUCUUAGUGCAUUCGUUGCAUGACAAUCCCUACUCCUCGCAUUGAUAUCAAUUGAUGGACAUCUCCAUAGUCCGUUGGUUAGCCGCGUCAAUGCGAGACUUUCUUACUUUUUUGUCUUCUCUAUAUUUACCCCUAUCAUCAUAAUCUAUUCCAUCCAUAGUGCUAUAUCCAUGGCUUGCGCUCAUGUAUUACGUGAGGGUUGAAAAAGCCAAAGCGCGUUAAAAAGUAUGAACCCAUUGCUUGACUUGUCAUCAGGGUUGUGCGUGAUAAAUACUUUGUGUCGAGAAGACAGAGCAUGACAAGACUAUAUGAUUUUGUAGAGAUAGCUUUCUUUAGUGUUGAUAUUUUGAAAGACAUGAUUGUUUGUUGGGAUGCCCGAGUAUUAUUGUCUUUAUGUCAAAUUAUAGACUAUUGAUUUGAAUCACUUAUGUCUUAAUAUUCAUGCCAUGAUUAGAUAUAUGAUCAAGAUUAUGCUAGGUAGCAAGUGCUCCCUGGGUGAUUUUGGUAAUUAAUGUCAAUAUAUCUCUUGUUGGACUAAUACUUAUACCUAGUGUAUUUCAGACAAGUUCAACAAUGGCAUGACAAGGACAAGAGGAUGUGGAAUCCCUUCAAAAUGCUAAGGACACAUAUUGGCAAAAUCUCAAGACUCUUCAUUUAUAUUUUAGUGAUCCAAGAUCAUAUUGAGUCCAUAGGAAAGCCAAUACUAUUAAAAGGGAUGAUAUAUUGCUUAAUUGUCUACUUGCUCAAAGUGCUUAGUGAUAUUGCUCCAAAACUCUCAACCACUUUCUCAUUUCCAAAUAUGUCCAAACUCAAAGUCAAAUUCGGCCCCACCGAAAUGAUCUAUCCGGCGCCACCGAGUUUAUUUGACAUAGUCACUGCCAAACCCCCUAACUCCUCAGUCACACUGAUACGGAUCUCGGUCUCACCGAGAUGGCCCUACAAACUCUCUGUUGCAUGUUGCAAUUAUUUCGGUCUUACCAAAAUGUGCAGUUCAAGCUGGAACAUGGCCAGGGAUUGAUCCCCUAAACUGAGGUCGCUUCCUAUUAAUGUGGUCGUGGACGACCAAUGUAGCCGCCACAAUCUCUUCGUCAUCUGAGGACGAAUAAUCCGAUGAACAAACGAAGUGAAAGAAAAACCCAUCCCCGCUAUUCAUGAUACCUUGUGAGGAACGUGUCGAACACCUUGCGGUCGUGGUGGAGACGCAGCCGGGAAGAGCAAGUCGAAGAAGCGAAGCAACGUUGGUGUUGGUGGGGCGGGCGCCCUGCGGCAAUGCAGCGCCUGCCGGAGUUGUUGGGGUCGAUGGUCAGCGUCAGCGGCCGUAGCUUCUCUCCCACCAGGAACAAGGAAUCACGAACGCCGACAAAAAACUCUACCAAAACGUGACCGUGGGGCGGCCAUGACAUGGCAUGGUUGUGGGGCGGACGACCUUGAUGGAAGGUGAUGCCACCGAGAACGGGGAUGGCAGCGGCGACGGCAAGGCGGAGGGCAGAGGCCGAAGGGAAGAGAGAAGAGGAAGAGAAAAGUGGUUGUGUCCCCGAUGGGCGGGACAUGAGGGACUAGGGUGCGCGCGGCGCCUGUCGUGUCUGUUCAGUCACAAACGCCACCUAACUUUGGACUGAAAAUGGAUCAAAAGCGGAUAAAAAACGAACAACAGCCUGUUUGCUCUUGUGCGUUGGGUGGCAUGUUCUGUCCGUUUAGGCCAUGUACAACGCCGCGCUUACAGCGGACGUUUAGAAAUAGAAUCCCCGCCGUUUUGCUCGUCCGGAGAGAUUUUCCUAGCGGCUCCCAGCCAGCGAUGCCAGACUUGGCAGCCGGUGCUUCGAGUGUAUUUAGCGGGCUGGAUAGUUGGUUCAAUGUGACAGAUAAAACGCCUCAGUUUUGGAGACACAAGCUCUUACGUGAGCGCUAUAAUUUUUUUUAAUUAUUUUAAGGGCGGUACUGGGCGCCGGUGCGCCGGCCGAAAGUUUCGGCCGGUCGCACCGCGAGCGUCCGAUCUACACAUGCGCAGCCGUCAAAUCUGUCCCCUAUCGUUCCCUUCGCCAACCUCCCGCACAGAAAAAAAGAAGAGGAAAAAGAGCGCCGCCCCCGCCCGGGCCGACAGCCCCGCCUCAUCUCCUCGUCCUCCCGUUGCAGCACCGUCGCGUGCGCCGCCGCACUGCCGGGUUGCCGCAUCUCGCCGCGCGCCGUGGGGAUUGCAGGGCUACCUAGAAAGAUUCAAGAUUUUGCUGUUUGCAUCUCUUCAUCGGCUUGUUCCAAGAACUGGCAUCGUGGUUGCAGCACCUCCCGCCCCCGCUGUCUCUACUCGCCGCCGACGUCGCCUUCCACCACCGUAUUUCAGCAUAAAAAGCUCAACGAAUAGGAAAAGGGGAUUUCCCUGACGGUAGCAAAAACCAAAAACUGUUCCAGCAAAAAAUUAUCACGGUUCCAGCAAAAAAAUGCACUGCCGCCGAUGCCUGCAAACAAAAAAUCUAGCCGGUUACAGCUCUUCUUCGGCUGGUUGUAGCAAAAAUGAUUCUUGGUCACAGCAAAACACAUGGCAGCCGCCGUCUAUCAUCGCCCCAGCACUAUUCCUAGCCUAUGCAGCAAAAUCAAAUGCUAGUUCCAGCAAAAAUCAAAAGUGCUUCCAGCCAAUAAUUUGAUGUACCAAAAAUCCUGUCUAUGCAGCAAAAUCAAAUGUUGGUUCCAGCAAAAAUCAAAAGUGCUUCAAGCCAAAAAUUUUGAUGUAACAAAAAAUCCUGCGUAUGUAGCAAAAUCAAAGGUUGGUUCCAGCAAAAAUCAAAAAGUGCUUCCAGCCAAAAUUUUGAUGUAGCAAAAUAUCAGGGGCGGAGGCACCACUGUCCCUCAGUUUACAGCAAAAUCGAAAGCUGGUUCCAGCAAAAAACAGAAAUGGUUCCAGCAAAAAAAUCAUGGCAGCUCGCUAGCCGCCGUCUCUACCAUCCCCACGGUCGUCGCUCGCCCCUGACUCCCGUAGCAGUACCCUCGUGGCCCUCCCUUCAGACUGGUGCGAUUUCUAGCCACCAGAGCGCCCGAUUUUGUUGUCUUGGUGAUUAGCGGGGGAAGGGGAUUACAUGAGUACAGGAGGAUGUGUUCGUGGAGAUGGGGUAAAUGAGUGGUGGAGCUCACUAGGAGGAAGAAGAUAAGGCACGGAGGGGGUAAAAUGAGUGGUGGAGCUCACUGGGAAGAAG
rnacentral:lncRNA from 1 species